rnacentral:lncRNA from 1 species
CGGAAAUUAAUUACUAAUUGAUUGCACUCUAAUUAGACGGCUAUAAAUACUAACAUGGACAGUGCAACACUUCACUCAUAACUUGGAAGAAAAAAAACACCACUAUCAAACACCAAUGGCUUCCUCUGCUUUUGCACUUGCUUCCACCUUUAGGGCUCCCACGGCCCCGAUGGUUUCCUCACCGUCGGCGAAGAUCAGUACUACUACUCCGCCGACGGCUGCCCAUUUCCUCAAACAUACUACUGGUAAGGGAGGCGAUCAGAGUGUUAACCCCUGGCGGUUUCCCGUUUUUGGAAAGACAUCUCAUCACUCUGCCGGAGGUGACCAGGUUAACGGGCCCUGGCCGCUCCCCAUCUUCGGCAACUCUACAGGAGUUGACGGUGGCUACGUUCAGCCCUUUUUCGGUUGAUAAGUACUCUACCGUCUCGACGAUGUUGUUGUUGUUGCUGCUGUUGUUGUUGCUGCUGUUGUUGUUGUUGUCGUGGUCGUCCUAAUGAAUAAUAUCCUUUCUAUUAAGGGUAGCUCUGCUGUUGUCCUCAUGAACAACAUCGCCAUAUGAUGUAACCUUGUGUUGUGUUCCAUCUAAUAUAUAAUAAAAAGAUAUUUUCUGUGUUAGCAGUUUAGCUAUACAAAAAUUAAUGCUGGAAGUUUAGUGAUUCAAAUCGUGUUAAACCGGUCGGGUCAGCAGGCUUUGCACUCAGCUGAGUAUCCCUUUGGGCUUGAGGUGCGGGUACGAAACAAUCCUAUUUUAUACUUCGUGUAAAGAAUCAUCGCGUCAUGAUAAUUCGAGUUGUUUGGGAGAGGAUUGCUUUUAGCCAGGGCAUAGGAGGAGCUAUUUUGGUGUUGAUUACUCUCUGUCACGCAUUAUAUAAAUCUUAUAUAAUUUUCUAACACCGUAACACGCUUAUCUUGCUAAAAAAAUGCAAUUUUCUGUCAUUACAUGUCGAGUUACUAAAGGUAUUUAGUAACUAGAAAUGCGUAUCAGUCAUGGAAAAUAAUAUUUACGACAGGAAAUUAUGUAACUAAAAAGAAGUCUAAUAGUUUCUGGUUUCCAUUAUUAAUAAACAUUGGUGACUAAAUAUUCACAAUUGGUGACUAAUUUCUGGUAACUAAAGCAUUUUAUGUGACGAUUGAUUUUGUUUUUGUAGUGUCUUAUACACUAAACAGAUAAACAUGUAAGGAGUGCACCUAACGUACAAUCAUGCUUCGAAACUAAUCAUGACCCUUCGAUAUUGUGUAGCGGCCAAAUGGACGGUCCUGAUAAAUUGAGGAGUUACAAAUAACUGAAUGGGGGGAAUUUAUAGGCCAAAUGGCUUGUAGCAUUGAAUUGGGGAAGUUAAAAAGGAGUGGUAGGGGAAAGAUAGCGCCAAAUGGAGGGUAUCAUUAGAUUAAGGAGUUGCGUUGCAGGCCUGCAGCGAUUUGGUUCGGUUUUUUCGAUAUUCGUGUAUCUGGAUUGUGUUAUCCGCUGAUUAAAUAUCAAGAAUUUAGAUCGGAGAACAAACUGUUAUUGCUAUCGUACGAGAAACCCGAUCUAAAUUCUUGAUACAAUUAGAAGGAAUUUGUUCCUUGAUGACCAUUUGUGAGCAUGUUUCAUAACAUAAGCUAGGUUGCAUCACUCUAAUAUAUGGAAAAAAAAAUUGCUGUAGUGUAAAUUUUAAUUUUUUUAUCUUAUCCAUAUAAAUGAUUAAUGAACAUGGUAAUCUGUCAACUCGAGUAAAUAUUGUAGACACCGAGGGCGCGCACACAUUUAUAUAUCUAUUUGUUAUAUAUAAUUUCUAUCUGUUGACGUUUUGGUUGGUCAUUACUUCGUUAUGACGGUUAUUUUGAGUUUACUAAGGCUAUUGGUACCAGUACUACUCAAAUUAAUUAAUGUACAAGUAAAAUGAAGUAGCUAUAGAAAAAGUGUAGGAAAAUAUUCAGGAGUCGAGGUGAGGAAUUACAAUACUUGGAUCCUUUAUUGCUUUUGCACUUGCUUCUACCUUUAUUGUUUCCUCACCGGCGGCCAAGAGUACUGCUACUCCGCCGAUGGCUACCAUUGCCGCCCGUUUCCCCAAACAUACUACUGGUAAGGGAGGCGACCAGAGUGUUAACCCCUGGCGGUUUCCCAUCUUUGGAAAGACAUCUCAUAACUCUGCUGGAGGUGACCAUGGCUACGUCUUACCCUGCUUUGCAGAGGCAAAUAACUCUAUUGGCGGUGACAGGAGUGUUAACCCCUGACGGUUUCCCAUCUUCGGAAAGACAUCUCAUAACUCUCCUGGCGGUGACAGUAGUGGGAACGUCCUACCCUGCUUUGCAAAAGCCGAUAACUCUACUGGAGACUGCGAUGGUGGCUACGUCCUUACCUGCUUUGCAAAAGCCGAGAACUCUACCGGAGGCGGCGAUGCUGGCUAUGUUCUGCCCUGCUUCGGAAAAGCCGAUAACUCUACCAGAGGCGGCGAUGCUGGCUAUGUUCUGUCCUGUUUCGGAAAAGCCGAUAACUGUACGAGAGGCGGCGAUGAUGGCUAUAUUCUGCCUUGCUUCGGAAAAGCCGAUAACUCUACCGCAGGGGGCGAUGGUGGCUACGUCCUGCCGUGCUUCGGAAUUGCCGAUAACUCUACCGCAGGCGGCGAUGGUGGCUACGUCCGAACCUGCUCUUCUUAAAUUAAGUUGUUGUUGUGUGUUCUGGUUGUAUGUUGAGCAUUGUCCUAAUGAAUAAUAUCAUUUUGGCUCUCCGAUUGCAACCAGAUUAAUGAUCUUAAAUAUUGGUUCGGAGAGAUGGUCUUGAUAGAUUUUGAUGGUUGGAUUAUGUGUCUUUUGGUUAAAUUUCAUCGAAUGGUGAAAAAUAAGUCAAACGAAUUGACUUAAAUUGAGUAUUUUCAGAACAAAAAAAUAGAAAAAAUCAUAUAGGUGUGGGUGUACGAGCAUGUUAUGUCGCCAAUACGAUUAUGUUACAGGCUCAUUAUGUCGUUGCUACGUCCACCUUACUAGUAGUUGAAUUCAUCAUCGUAAUGCCUAAUUUACCACUCUUUUAUGCCGGUGAUAUAUACACUUUACGAGUUUGUUGUGCAUUUUUAUUAUGUCCAUAUUGCGUGAUUAUUACAUCAUUGCUGUGUCCAUGUAAAUUGUUAUAUUCAUGUUACGUCAUUAUUACAUAAUUUUUAUAUCAUUAUCAUAUCCAGUUUACGUGCGAAGAAUAGAGAGAGGAGAGAAGCAAAAUAUGAAAAGAGAAAAUAUUUUUUAAAUUUCCGUUAAACCCUGAUAAAAUUCCAAUCGUCAAAUUGAAAUUGCCGAAAUUGAUUUUAGACAGUUGGAUCGCUGUCUGGACAAUCUGAAAAAUUGGGCCUCUCGGAUCAUUAGCAAUUUUGCUCCGAUUGAGGCUAUUGGUUUCCUUUCUAAGUAUUUGGGAGACCUACCUCUUCAAUUGAGGUGACAUACGAUUCAUAAACUCUUGGUUCACUCGCGCUCACUGUAUUUUUUGGAUAUGGAUAUUAACCCACAAAUUAGGCUUGGAACAUAUUGGUUCGGAAAUCCGAAAAAUCGCCUGAAUCCAAUCGGGCAAAAUCCAAUUUGACCGAGUGGCGGAUCAGAUUCGGAUUAAUUGAAAUCCGAAGAUGACGAGCAACGGAUGGGUAUCAAAUUCACUGAUAUCCGAUUCGACUCCACCCGAAAGUAUAUAUACAGGAAAAAAACUCUAUAUUAGUUUGGUUUAUAUUUUUGUUGGAGGGGUUUUUGUUUGGUUUAUGUUGCUAGUUGUUACAAUGAGUUUUGCUAAUGAAGGUUAUUAAGCGAAUUUAGUAUUUUGGAUAAUUUGAGGGUUGUUUGAUUGAUUUUGCUUUGGUUUAAACUCGAUUUUCAAUUUUGAAUUAGUAUGUUUCAGAUCAAAUUUAAAUUUUUGACCAAAUCCGCAAUCCGGAAAUAGGCGGGGAUAAUAUAAAAUCUAAGUCCAAUUGUUAUUACGAGCGGAAAUUCCCCAAAUCCGACUUCGACCACCCGAUUGCCAAGCCUACCACAGAUGGUAAAACCAAUUUCCAAAUUUAACUUUUACCUUAUCCACAACAAUAUCCACAGUCACAAAACCGGACAACGCCUGACACGUGUCGCAAUCUCCUCUACCACACCUGUCCAACCAACUGGCCAUAAAAAACCAAUAUCCAAUUUCCCACGGUCUCCGUUUCCCGGUAAAAAGAAUUAAAAACUCACUAGCCGUCAGAUUAUCCUCCUCAUCCUAAUCCAACGGUCCACACACCUCUUCUUCCUCCUUUUCUUCUACUUCAUACAGAUCAUCAAAACCUUCUCUCUCUCUCUGUUCAAAUGUUUGAAACAUUUUGAAAGAUUUCCAAUCAAUCUCUUUGCGUCCAGAUUUCACAAGCAAAAACCUCUGCUUUUGAAGCUAUGGCGGAGCUAUUGAGCAAUCCGAAUCCAAUCGGAUCGUCGUGGUCUGCUGCCGUUUCUUCUUCUUCUUCUUCUUCUUCUCCGGCCAGCAGAUGCGAUUCCGGCUAUCGGAGCUUCCGGAUCUGCGUCGUAGGGAAGAGUCGGAGGUCUGCAGCGGUUAGAUCACAGGUGGCCACUUGUGGCGGUGGGUUCUAUGGUAAACGGACUGUUGUUCAGGGGAAUGAAAGCAGAGGAAGAAGAAGCCAUCUUCGUCGAUCUUCGAUUCGAGCUCAGGUAAUUAGCGUUCGGUCAAAAGCUUUGAUCUUUUUUAAUUUCCUUAUCGAGGUUGAUUAGAUUUCGUGAAAUUUCGUUGUGGGCUUGUUGAGAAAUGUGAUUUUAGGGAUUGGAAAUUAGGAAACCACUCAUUUGAAUAAUGUUUGGUUCUGGUUUCAGAGUUCUUUAGAUCAGACCGGUUGGAUGAUCAAACCGGUAAUUGAAUCAUUAAAACCCUCUAAAAUUGAAUGGCUAGGCCAGAUUUUUUUUGUAGUUUAUUAACUCAGUUCAAGAAUGAAACAUUGGUAAGUAAUGUGACCUGUAAAUAUGAACCAUGAGUUGAAGAGAAGUUAGAUCCAGGUUGAACCACUCGCUUAUCCGGUUCGAUUUUUGAAUUUGGUAGAGUGGCCGUAUAGGAAAUGCACAGAGAUGGUGGGAGAAGGGAUUACAACCAAACAUGAAGGAAGUAACUUCAGCUCAAGACCUUGUUGACUCUCUGUCGAAUGCCGGAGACAAACUGGUGAUUAUCAAUUUCUUCUCCCCGGGAUGUGGUGGCUGCAAGGCUCUCCAUCCCAAGGUAAGCAAAACAAACCCCCCACAUUCUCGAAUUCGAUCAGAAGGGGGCAUUGUGUUCUUAGUUUGGGAUGGGUUGUCAUUGCAGAUAUGUCAAAUAGCGGAAGCGAACCCGGAAGUACAGUUCCUCCAUGUGAACUACGAGGAGCACAAGUCCAUGUGUUACAGCCUCAACGUUCAUGUCCUGCCUUUCUUCCGAUUCUACCGAGGUUCGCAAGGGCGGUUAUGUAGCUUCAGUUGCACCAAUGCCACGGUUCGUACUUUGCUUUUUAGAUGAUUACGUUGUCCCUAGAUUGAAUAAAUUGCUGAAGGGAUUCUUUCUUUCUCCUCUCCUACAGAUCAAGAAGUUCAGAGAUGCAUUGGCGAAGCACACUCCGGACAGGUGCAGCCUCGGUCCGGUGAAAGGUCUGGAGGAGAAAGAGCUGGUUGCACUAGCAGCUAACAAAGAUCUCAACUUUACAGACACUCAGAAGAAGGUUCUUCCAAAGCCUGCAGUUUCUCUACCACCACCAUUGACAUCAUCUCCCUCCAAGCCGCUUCAGAGUUCUCUCCUCCCGGUCGAAGAGAAAACUCUGGUUUCGUCGGGGAGAUGAUGAUGAUUCGACUUUGACCUCCCCCUUCCUCUGUACAGCUCCAUGUUGCUCAAUGUCUGAUUUGUGUGUGGCCAUAUUGUUGUAGUAGUAGCAGUGGUAGAAGUUGCAGGUUUUAAGGAUUCUGUUUGGGUUUUUUUAAUGGAGUCCUGUAAGCCUGCUGGUAUAAGGUUGUUGUUACUGUAAUAUUGUAUUAAGAAGAAGAAAUGCUAUGAAGAAACUUGGUUGUAAAAAUGUAAUGUGGAGCAGUUGUGUUUUUUGGAUUACUGUACCAUAAAGACUUAGUAAACAAGUAUAAUGGCAAGUGUUAUUGCUUGUGCCUAUUUCGAUUUCAUCAGGCUAAAGCUUGACUGAGCCAAUUUUUAGGUGAGCUUGAGCUUAAACUUAAGCUAGAAAUUGUUGGAGCCUAUUUGAGUCGGGCUUUUAGUAAGACAAAUUCGAGCUCAACUUAAAUUUCGCUCAUUAAACUCCCAUAAUGGUCCAAUUUGAAUUGAAUUUGAAGGUUGUACAAGGUAUUCUAAAAUUACAAGUUUCUAUAAUCACAUGUUGCAUUCUUGAGUCUAUUGACGAGUCACAUACUCGAGUUAGUAUUCGAGUUGGCUCUUGAGUUUGAGCUCGACCCAGCUUGCGAGCCUAAAGAGUCGGAACAUAAAUUAAUUCAAGUUUGGCUCAUUUAAAAUCGAGCAAGUCAAAACAAAUUUUUUUCGAACUGAUGGUUCAAGUUUGGGCUAACGGAGGUACAAACCUUUCUUACGGCCUUGGAUAACUAAUAAGCCCAAUCUAGAAUAUAACCGUUUUCAAUGGGCCUCGGCCCAGAUAAUAUCUCCCUCGCGACAUCAAAGAAGCUUUUCAGCGCCAGGUGAAAAUAAGAACCUAUUAGUGUUCUUCUCUCUUUCCCGCCUCCGGCCGCCGUAGCUAUCUCCGACGACCAUAGCUCCUCUCCGUUUACCAUCUCUCUUCCAGUAAGCUCCUACUUCACCCAUUCUUAUUCUUCUUCAUCUCGCUUACGUUUUCGAAUUUCUCGCCAGAAAGCUCUCUUUGACACACAGUAGAAGUUUUGUUUCUGCAGCUGCUUUUUAAAUUUUGUUUAAAACUUAAAUGCCUUCAAAGACGAAGAAGCAGUCCAAGGGACAGUCGAGGCUGUCGAGCUCGGAGCUCUCCGGUUCGUCGCCUCGGACUCCGUCACUGACGCCUUCUCUAACUUCUCAAUUCGGCGAAGAUGAGGAAGAAGAAUACCUAUCCUCCUGUUUGGAAGAAGUGUCUAGGAGAUUCCCUGAUUUGAUCGGAAAAUCCGCUGUUGUUAGCCGAAUCACUGACGUGGCUCCUGAUUCUAGAGGCGGUAAAAUCUGGCUCUCUGAGGCUUCCAUGGUCGCUUCUUCAAUCGUCCCUGGUUCCGUUGUCUCGGUAAGCAUUGGCGUAAUGUGAUUUUGCUAGCUCUUUUUGUGUUCGCUCGAUGAAAUUAGGAAUCAUUUCUGGGUUUAUGAUCGAUUACAUUGCAGCUUGGUAUGGAUUUUCCAUUUCUAGAUGUUCUGAUGAUGAUUAAUUACAUUGCAGGUGUCGAUUGCUGCUUCAGCAAGUAAUGGUUUUCCUCUCAGUGCAAUAUCGAUGGAUAGUGCUACACAGAUGGGUAUGGAGUUGAUGGAUGAACAAGCUUAUGCAGAAGGAAACUACUUUGCUCUUGCUACUGUUUUUCCUUCUUGUAAGGUUUGACUGGCUCUCCUUUUUUUUCAAUCUUACAGAUCAUUUCCAUUACUUUCAAGCAUGUAGGUCUCAGAAUUAUAGUCUUUGCAUCAGGUUUUGAAGAACGGAGUGCGAUUGUCAAUAGAUCUAUGGUACACAAUGGGUUGUCCUGCUUCGAAUAGCAAUGUCUUUGUUUAUCCUAUAGAGAGUGACUUUGUAGGUAGUCGAAUAAAUGGAAGUACCAAACGAAACGACACGGCGAAAGUGUAUAUCAGAAAUUGUAGCAAGCUAUGCUUAGACUUGGUCCCUUUGAAGAAACGGUUGCAAAUGGAAAGUGGUGAAAAUUCUCACGAUUCAUCUGCAAACAGUGUAGUUUCAUCUCCAAGGACACCAAUGUCUCGAUCCAAACUCAGGUCUCCUAGUCCUGGUCAAUUCUCUGCACCAAAACUUGAAGAAGUAGCAGCAGGUGGUUUGUCCUACCUAGCUGGUAAAUUUGGUGAUCCGUCUCGAAUUAAGGACGUGCUAAAGGAUGAAAAUUCGAGAAAGCUACUGCAAGUUUGUGCUGCCUCAUGGCUGUACGCGCGUGUUUUAAUCUGUGGGAAUGUCGUUGCAGUCCCUGUGAUGUCAGAGCUUUUUGUUUACCGUGUGACGAGUGAUCAAGAAUUUACAGCUAGUGAUGGUAACCAAGGGACGGAAGGCAAAAGGAGUAAUGGUUACCCUAAAAUGCCCGAGUUGGCAAAUCAUGAGACUGAUGCCUUGGUCAUAAAUCAUGAAACACAAGUGUAUUUCUGUCACCAAGAAGGCUCAGCAGAUGAAACCCCUAAGAAAAGGGGUGAGAAAACUGGUAGAUAUGAUGUGCCGAAAUUGGGUGGUCUACGCAAGGAAUACAAUAUUUUGAAGGAAAUAAUUGCAUCAUCAAUGAAGAACAAUUUAUCAAGGUAUUUGGGUUUGAGUUAUUUUCUGUUGGUUUUGUUUUCUUGAUUUAAUCAGUACGACGCAUCUGUUGUUAGUGAUUAUGAGUAAAGGAAUUCCUGUUUAUAUAUAUUUGUCUUUCCUACGUUUGUUGUUGACACAAGUCUUUUAGUCUUGGUCUACGAACUACAAAGGGAGUGCUUCUUCAUGGUCCACCUGGCACUGGGAAAACUUCCUUGGCUCGUCUAUGCACCCGCGAUGCUGCACUUAAAAUUUUCACCGUUAACGGACCUGAGAUAAUAACUCAAUAUCAUGGAGAAAGUGAGCAAGCACUGCGUGAAGUUUUUUAUUCCGCUAGUCAAGCUGCACCAGCUGUGGUUAGAUUCAUCUCUUUAUUAUUGUAUUUCAUAAGAAUCUUUAGUUAAGUUACGACCUUUGAAAAAGCCUAAGUGUAGGACUCUGGCAUAUUCUCUUUGUAGGUAUUCAUCGAUGAAUUGGAUGCCAUUGUACCCGCAAGGAAAGAAGGAGGUGAUGAGCUAUCUCAGAGAAUGGUGGCCACGCUAUUGAACUUGAUGGAUGGUAUUAGUAGGACUGACGGAGUGGUCGUUAUUGCGGCAACCAACCGGCCUGAUAGUAUUGAACCUGCACUGAGACGGCCAGGCAGACUUGAUAGAGAAAUUGAAAUAGGUAUUCAGAACCUGGCAUCAAGCAUUUCACGGACUGUCCAAAGACAAUUUGUUUUUGGGUCCUUUGCCUAAGCGUAAGUUUAACUAUCUUCCUUGUGCAUGCAGGUGUUCCGUCACCCCAGCAACGCCUAGAGAUAAUUCAUACUCUUCUCGGUGAAAUGGAACACUGCAUUUCAUAUAGCCAAGCUAAGGAUCUUGCCAUGGCUACACAUGGCUUUGUGGGUGCUGAUUUAGCUGCACUGUGUAACGAAGCCGCCUUGGUGUGUCUUAGGCGGUUUUCUAAGCUAGACAGAUCUGGCGAUAGUUCGCUUCUGAACUCGACGCUUAGUGCGGAUUCUGGAUCGGAGGUGGUGUCCACUUCCCGUGCUUCGCUACCGCCGAUUCUGACAUCUCCUAGCUUAAGUACUGCCUCCUCGUUAGUAGCUGAUAACAUCGAUGACGGUACUAGUAACGGCCACGAGGAUUCAUUCUCAGUUGAAGACAAGCUAUUGAAAGUCGUCUAUGAAGACUUCGAAAAGGCCAGGAUGAAAGUGAGGCCUAGCGCCAUGCGAGAGGUAUGCUUCAUCAAUAGAAAGCGCAUCUUUGAUUAUAUAGGUAUUUCCAAAGUUUUAUGUACAUAAUCUGGUCGUAUACUUGCAGGUAAUACUCGAGGUACCAAAAGUCAAAUGGGAUGACAUUGGUGGGCAACGAGAAGUAAAAACUCAACUGAUGGAAGCAGUCGAAUGGCCUCAAAAACAUCAGGAGGCAUUCAAACGCAUUGGUACUCGUCCCCCGUCUGGAAUUUUGAUGUUCGGUCCUCCUGGUUGCAGUAAAACGCUCAUGGCGCGAGCAGUAGCAUCAGAAGCCGGAUUGAAUUUCCUGGCAGUUAAGGGUCCAGAGCUUUUCAGCAAAUGGGUUGGUGAAUCUGAAAAGGCUGUGAAGUCCCUUUUCGCUAAGGCCAGGGCCAAUGCACCGUCGAUCAUCUUCUUCGACGAGAUUGAUAGUCUUGCAGUCAUCCGCGGAAAGGAAAGUGAUGGAGUUUCGGUUUCUGACCGGGUCAUGAGCCAACUUCUUGUUGAAUUAGAUGGUAAGUAAUCUUUCCCCUACAAUCUUUUCUAUGGUUAACUGAGAGUCAGUGCAUCAUCGAGUCUUUGAGUAAUCUGUAUGUUCCGUUCUUCUUAGGUCUGCAUCAGCGAGUGAAUGUUACCGUUAUCGCUGCCACAAAUCAACCAGAUAAGAUUGAUUCAGCCCUUCUAAGGCCAGGUGAGCUCCAAUUCUCUCUUUUUCUCUUAAUGCACAUCCGAAGCAACCCCAGUACUCUCCUUAUGCGUUAGAUACAUCUACGUACAGGACGUUUCGAUCGAUUACUAUACGUGGGACCUCCAAACGAGAAUGAUCGGGAAGCCAUAUUUUCGGUCCAUCUACGUAGAAUUCCAUGCAGUUCAGAUGUCAAUACGAAAGAGCUUGCUUCUCUGACAGAUGGAUAUACAGGAGCCGACAUCUCAUUAAUAUGUCGCGAAGCAGCAAUUUCGGCUCUCGAGGUUGGUUCGGUUCUGUUUGUCCGCACUUGUUCGCAUUUGGUUACUGAUUAGGUACUUUUGGCUUGACCAGGAAAACAUCGAUGCCUCAGAGGUGACAACGUGGCAUUUGAAGAACGCAAUCGAGCGAGUCCAGCCAUCGAACUCUCAGUCUUACGAAAAGCUGUCAGCUCGGUUUCAAAGGCUCGUCCAAUCCAGCAAUGGCGGAGACUACGACGAAUCAAGUGAGGAUCAAGAUCAGCCGGGCAGAUACCGAACCUGGUAUAUCAUCAGUACCCUACUCGGAAAAAAAACCGCACAGUUUCGAAAUUCAGCUGACAUAAAACUCUUUCCUUCUCAGGGGCAUGGUAAAAUCUACUCUUGCAAGGCUUUUUUCUUAACUUAUCAACUGGGUCGAACCGUUGAAAUUUCGAUCAAAGAUUGUCGAAUUUUCGCCGCUCGAGCUUUACUUUGCCUAAUCAAAGGUCCGGGAACAGCAGUAUUGAUGUUGAUGCCGUCACAAAGUUAAUUUCGAAAAAACAAAUCGGAUUAGCCGGUUUGUAACCGUGAUUAAUUUCGAAAUGUUGGGUUCUUUGAAAGACAGGUACAGUAGUCAAAGUUGAGAGACUGACAAAAGUACAUAUCGAUAUAUAUAUAUAUAAAGAAAAGUGCAUCUUACCACUUUUUCUCUUUGCAGUAAUUAAUUUUUUUAUAUUUUGUAAAAAAAAUAUUUCGACUUCAAAUUACGGGAGAGUAAUAUGUUAAAAUGAAUUAAAUUGUAUGGUUUCCGAACCGUUAAAAGGAGCGGGAUUGUUUAGUACGGAACUAGAUUUCUCGUGCGUUAUGAGUCUAGCUUCAGCUCGACUUCCAAUGUAUGAUCCAAUACCUUACAGAACUUGGGACAACGGUUGUAUAUGCCACUCUUCAUCACAACUUUAUGGCUUGUCGUCGGAUCAUCUUGUUAGUAGACUAGAGGCCACCAUCACUAGUAAAGCCCUUCAUAGCUUCGAUCAGCCUCUCGUGUACUGGAUUUUACACCACUUGCUUAAACAUUUGCAAGACUUGCUGAUCCAAACAAGUUACAAUAUCGUAUUAGUCGGUUUAAAUUAUAUGGUUUACGAACCAUUAAAAGACGUUUUAGCGGGAUUGUAGUCUUUUUUAUAAGAACGAGAUUGUAAUUAGUAUGGAACUAGAGUACUCAUGCGUCACGGGUCCGGUAUAAGUUCGACUUUCAAUGUACGAUUCAAUGCAUUACAGAACUUAGGACUACGAUCGUAUAUGCCACUCUUCAUCACAACUUUAUGGAUUGUCGGUUUGAUCAUCUUGUUAGUAGACUAGAGACCACCAUCACCACUACUGUAAGCCCUUCGUAGCGUCAAUCUCCGAAACACGACUCGCUUAAACAUUCUCAAGACUUGCUGAACCAAGCGAGUUACAAUAUUGUAUUACUCGGUUUAAAUUCAACGACAUAAACCUCCUCGAUUAUGAAUAGAUGCGUAUAAAUCAUCCCACCCACUGACCAAUGUGUAAGAAUAUGAAUUUCCAAGUAUCAAAAAGAAAUUUUGCAAAGCAUAUUCUGACAAUUGCUAUUACACCUCAAAAAGAGCAAAUUCAAAGCUCCUGUCUUUUUCUCCUGUACUUUCUUUCCCCCUUUUCUUUUGUCUCAUUUUCUCCACUACUCUUAUUAUUUUACAUUUCCUUCCACAAACCCCCCACUCCCACCUUCUCCAUCUUCAUCCCCAACCCAAAAAGGUCCUACCUUUUCCAUUUUUUCUAGGGUUUUCCAUCUCUCUCUCUCUCUCUCUCUCUCGCCAUAGCUCUCAACUCACUUCACUGUUCAUCAACCUCCAGGUAAACUCGUCCUUCAUCCUUCCUUCCUACCCUUCAAUUCAUCCCUCUUUGGAUUUCUGCGUCUCUUCAGUGAGGUCUGUACUCUCUAGCUUUUUUGGGUCUUGGCUUAGUUUUCUGUCAAAUUGAUUGAAAUCUCCCCUCAGAUUGUCUGUAUGUGGGUUUUUUCUUGUGGGGUUGUUUUGGGGAAGUCGAAAGUUUGUUGCUUUAAUCUGUUUCCUGGUAUGGAAUGGAUUGAUGAUGUCUGCUGAGGAUUUCUGCUGAAUGAUUUUGUCUGCUGCUGACGUAAUCAUGUAUUUACUGCUAGUUUCCCUGUUAUGAUGGAGAAGAUUCAGUUAGAUUGUAGUUUGAUUGGGUUGUUUUAGUUCUAGGCUGCCUGUUGAAGGGUUAACUGUUGAACUUGAAAAGUUACAGCUAUGGCUUGUCUGUUGAUUAUGGUUCUGUUUUGGGUUUGACUUGCCAAAAUGCCUGGUUCUUGUUUUCUCUGGUGGCUUUAGCCAUUUUCGCUAUGUAGAGAAUAGAGUGAUUGGGCUAGAGUUUGAGAAUAGGGUUUAGGAUCGUGAUAACUCGAGUUGUUGGGAGAGGGUUUAGAAUUGGUUCAUAUAACAAUCCUUGAACAGUUACUUGUAGUAAUUUCAUAUGGUUUGAUAUCGUUGCAGGUACCUGUUCUAUCUGUGUUGCUAUUAAUGCUGAAGCUCCAUAUUUUACCAGAGAGAAAGCAGUGAACUCUUGACUGCUGCCACUGGUUGAUGAUGUCUCCAUAGUGUAUAUUAGAAAUCGUACUCUUACGCUGAAGCUCAUUGUCGAUUUCCCACGAGUAUUAGUUCAUCCAUUUAUCUGAAGCUGCAAACACCUUACUGGUGGUCAAUAGAAAAUAGCUAACACGGGUGCCCUAUGUUGUGUGGCCGCUGGGCCACAUGGCGGAGCAAAGUCUUCUGUCGAAGGCGGUGGCAGAAAUGAUCCGUCUUUCAACGAGGGAGAAGAACAACCCCCUCGUUGGAGGACGAAUUCUAGCUUCUCUCCCCCGGCUUUGAGGAUGUGGGAUUGCAGAUUACACUCGGAUGGCGUUUCGCAAGAGCCUCAUGGUGUUCGUGGUUCAUCUGCUUCGUCGCAUAGCAGGAACUGGAUGGGUAGUGAUCAGUAUACCAACCAUCACCAUUCUGUCUCUGAUGGUGCUUUGUCUUUCUCUGAUAGUCCGCCUGAUAACAUCCCACGGAAUCGAUGGACAUCGCCAUUGCCAAAGUUCCAUUUAAGCGAGCUUUCUUCUGUCGCCGCAGGAGGUAAGCUAGUGAAUCACACUACAAUAUCUGCACAGAUUGUUCUUUCAGGACAUGAACCAUUUGACAUCGUUAUUUAACAAUUUUGUUGUGUCCGAAUCACAGGCUCUAGAAUUCAAACUUCUUGGCUUCCUCGCUCCGCCGAGGUGACUUUUUGGCUCUUUUAGUUGUUUCGAUUUCAACAGCAUUUAUGUUAUAAAGAUUUCAUCUUUAUCAUGGUGUUUUUCAUGUGGCAGAGACCAUUUCCUGUUAGAGCCAAUGUAGCAUCCCCUAGCCUGGGUUCUUCGUCUCCUCUUUCCGAAUCCGGUCAAUGGGAAUCGACAUCAAUAAACAAGCGCCCUUUCCGGAGCUUCAACAACAGGCGAUCCUCACACACAUCUAAAGCUGUCUAUCCUCUAAUGUUCCGUAACCCAGUCUCCGACUGCGAAACACUUGGUGGUGAUGCUGACUCCAGCAGCUUUGGUCAGGUGACACCAUCAUCCUCUGGCUGGCCCGAUCACAGUCCCAGCAUCGAGUACAAAUUCCAGAAGACCCUCAUGGAACUCCACGAGACAACGUCACCUGACCCCAGCGCUAGCUCCAGAAGAGACGGCUUUCGAUGGAGCAGCGCCAGCAGCUACGAUAUGGGUCUCGACAUAGGGGAGCAGCAGCAGCUCGAUUUGGAAAGCCUCAAGUCCAGCAGCAGCACUGCAGUGGAUCAAAAGUGCGGAGUCUGCUCGAAACUCCUAUGGCAGAAAUCUCCCUGGAGCUCGAAUCGGAUCAUGAGAGGAGGCGUCGGAGACAUGCCUACCGCUGGGGUCCUACACUGUGCACAUGUCUUCCACGCAGAAUGCUUGGAACAGGUGACACCGAAGACUCAGGUCCACGACCCUCCUUGUCCGCUGUGCUCGAAAACCAUCGGUGGUCUGGAAGGUAGCGAAUCUGCAGGUGUUGUUGCUGAACAUUUGCUGAGAUCCAUUCGGAGAAGUAGAGGACCGUUGACUAUGUCUGAUGAUCACCAUAACAACACUACUAAAGAUAUGCUAAUAAGGAGGAAGGCUCCGCCAUGCCAAGAGGAGAGUAGCUCCUCGUUAACGAGCCGGCUUAAGAAGCAUUUCGCCAUGAAAGGGAAAACCGGCAAAGUGUUGUUCCAUAGGACUGGAUCUUCUUCUUCCUGAGAGAAAGCAAGGCUUGUUUUGUUAAGUAAAACCUUCAUUCCCCUUUUAGCAUUUUGUAUGUAAUUUUGUUGCAGAUAGGCGUUUGAUGGAUGAUUGAAUAUUUUCAAACCCUCUUGUAUUCUACUUAUUUGUCUUGUGAAAAAAGAUCUGAUUUCCGAUCUUUUCAGACGAUUACCACAUUGUUUCGAAACUUGAACAAGCGAAUUGAAGUUCAAGAGGUACAUAGCACGGACCUUCUUGAUUUUCCACAGAUGUUACCCUGUGUCAUCUACUAUGUCGAACCAUUUGUUAGGAUGAACCUGACUUUAUCUCGAUUUCAACAGAUGAUACGCUGUGUUCUACAUGGUGGGUAUAGAUAUCUUCAUACCUUUCAAGUAAUCGAGUAUACUAUCAAAAGCCACAGUCUAAACACUGAUGUAAACUCCAAAACUGGAUUCAAUUGAAAAACCAGAUGGCUAAUUUUGCAGGCUCAGACAGUGACAUAAGACUCUCAAAGACAAGUUUCUGGUGUCUUUUUCCUUUGUAGUUCUGUUCCUGCAGUCUCUUUAAGAACUAUAACACAUAACAUAAGACGGCUACAUUUCUACUGUCUUGUUUUGCUUCUUUGCUCUGUCUUCUUCCUCUUCAGGUUGGUAGAGUGCACAAAUCUCUGUCUCUCUACUGCCGUUUCAAACCAAAAAUCCGAAUUUCGACUGGUUUCCCCCUUUUGGUCGGACCGUGAAAAAACCCAGACCGGUCUGAAACCAUUAAAACAUCUAAAACCGCUUGAAAAGUUCACACCCUUUUUGGUUUCCUUUAAGGUUCGACCUUUGUUGAAUAUAUGAAUCUUGACCCCGCUUACUCGUGCAGCGAGACCGGUUCGAAAAAUCAUUAGUACAGUUCACACCUACUUCGGUCGUUUCCAUCAAAGGUUCGACCUGUGGUCGAAUCUAUGAAGCUCAACCCCGCUUACUCAGCCAGUUUGGUUCUAUUCGGACAACCUAUUUAUAUCAUAAGAAACCCCACUUACCUAUUUCCUUCAGACAUCCAAAAUUCUCAUCUCAAACAUUUCUCUCUUAUCACAAACUGAGUUUUAUUUGCAGUUCUUCAUUGAACCAAACUCAGGUCCAGCAACGAGCAAAGCAUGAAUCUUUGGGUCAGAAUAGCACUCGCAACGUUAGUAUCCUUGUCGUAUUCGAACCUCAUCCAGGGCCACGAAAAGAAAUCGUCCCAUGGCAGCCAUCUAGUUGAUAAGAAGAAGCAGCAUGCCAUAGCUGGGAAAUGGACUCAUGCUCAUGCAACUUUCUACGGAGGGGGCGACGCCUCCGGCACAAUGGGUACGUAACAUAAACCCGAGUCCUCGAAAACCAUUUCGCGACGAAGACUUAGUCUUUAAUCUAAAAAACUCGCGUCCCACUACAGGCGGAGCGUGUGGCUACGGUAACCUCUACAGCGAAGGCUACGGCAUAAAGACCGCCGCUUUGAGCACCGCCCUCUUCAACAAUGGCAAAUCCUGCGGAGCCUGCUACGAGAUAAUUUGCGUCGACGAUUCGCAGUGGUGUAAAGCCGCGAAUGCGAUCACAGUCACCGCCACCAACUUCUGCCCCGCAAACUACGCCGAACCAAACAACGACGGCGGAUGGUGCAACCCACCGCUGGAGCACUUCGACCUGUCUGUGCCGAUAUUCCUCCACAUCGCACAGUACAAGGCCGGUAUCGUACCAGUAAAGUACAGGCGGGUGACAUGCAAGCGUAUUGGAGGGAUUAGGUUUACGAUCACCGGGAGCGCGUAUUUCAACCUAGUGCUGGUGAGCAAUGUUGGGGGAGCGGGAGAUGUUGUGGCGAUGUCAGUGAAGGGGACCAAGACCAGGUGGAUGCGGAUGGCGAGGAACUGGGGACAGAACUGGCAGGCGAAUGAUGUACUUAUAGGGCAGGAGUUGUCGUUUAAAACUACUACGAGCGAUGGCCGGGCAACGGUUUCAAAUAAGGUGGUUCCGGCGGGAUGGAAAUUUGGACAGACUUUCACCGGAAAUCAGUUCUGAGUAGCUAAAAAGUGUGACAGUGAUGAGUAUGGAUCUUAUAGUGUAACUAAACUUUUCUCAUAAUGAACAAAAGUAGAGUAAUUGAUAUUAACUAAAGAGUUGCAGCCAUUGUUAACAAAGCAUUACAGAAAGAUCAAUUGCAGGUUGAUACUUGAUAAAAGGGUUUUACACAAGAGGGGAAAGCCUGAGAUUUCUUGCUCCAUAAGUCAUGUAAACCAACCUAGUUCAUGUAAUCGAAAAUGGCAUACCAAAACCAGAGAAAUGUACUACACAUUGUUCUUGAAUCCAGACCAAUUACGAUAGGACAGGCAAGCCAGAGCCUCUCCAAUAUCAACAGUCCCAAAGCUGGUCCACCAAGUUCUUGAAGUACUUCCUCUAUGUUAUCAUCCUGGUGAUCAUGUUCAAGCGAAGUCUCAGUUGGCGUGCAGCAGCAUCGAUCAAUGUUUCACUCUUCAUAGGCUCUGCUGGUCCCUGUAGUACGAGAAUGCCGCCCUGCAAAACAAAGCUAUUCGAGCACCAAAACAUACAGAAACUGAAUAGCUGAGACUCACAAAUCAAACCAUGGAACAACUAUGGAGAAACAGCAAACAAUCAAUUUUGUUCAAUUCACAUGCUAAUCUAGACAGGGUAGUUUCACCAAGCACCGUUCUUUACAACACUAGAAACCUACAGGAGACCGAGCAGUCAAAAUCAUGAAAGAACUAUGAAAAAACAGUGAUAAUCCAUGAAUCAAAACAACGAUGAAAAAUCACAACACAGUCAAUUUGUUCAAUUCACUGGCUAAUGACAAUGCAGAUACCAAACUACAAAUCUAGACAGAGCAGUUUUCACCAAGCACUAUUCUUUACAGCACAAGAAAGAAGCAAAACCAUAACCAUUGGUAACGAAAAAUCAGAAACAGUCACAAAAACUAAGUUCUUUCAAGCUAAAACUACACUACAGAACCAAAUCGAAGAACUAAGAAAGAAACACACAAAAAUACUAUAAAAAAUCUGUGAAAAUCAGGGAUUUGGGGGGGACAGCCCGCUGAUCCCGUCAUAGCCCAAAUCGAUAAACGAUUAUUUAGGGCUUUUCAGUGUGCAGGCAGUCGUCACCGCGGGGGUUUUGAGGAAACUCCAAGCAUCGCCUUCGAAAUCGGACUCAUUGGCAACAUCGUUUCCAGAGCCUCCGUCAGACCAUCGGAGAUGAUAGGGUGGCUGGAGAAAUGGCGACGUGGAUGAGAAUCCGAUUGAAGGGACGAUUAAAGGUUAGUCCUUUACCCGCUCAGAUAAGAUCAAGUAGUUGAGUUUUCGGCAAUGGUGGGAGAUUCUGAUUUAUAGUUGGCUGCUUCGAAGAACCCUAAUUUUUCCUAUCUAUAAUUUCCCAUUGUUACCCUUCAAAGUCUGUCGUUAUUACGAUUAUGGUUUUGGGCUGGCAUUCUCUUUGGUAUUUGAUGAUUUAUAUCCCUAGUGUUAUUAAGCCAUUUUUCAAAGCAUUCCAGCUAUGUAAUGUCAUGCUUUUUCAUAAAAUGAUUAAUCAAAUGAAUUUAAAGUUUAGAAGCAUCUUUUAGGAGAUUUGAUGAUAAAAAGUGUAUUCAUUAAGUAAGAGGGAACAUUUUUUCGAAAUCUAAAUGCGAGAGGAGAUUGAGCUUUAAGGAGUUUAGGCUUUUUAAUUUAGUUUUAUUAGCGAAACAAGGAUAGCAUAUAUUAAACAAUAAAGACCUCUUAUGGGUUAAAUUUCUCAAAGCAUUGUACUUUCUUAAUUCAAAUUUCUUUAACGCCUUUAAAGAAAGGAAAUCUUCAUGAAUUUGGUCAAGUUUGUGUGAAGCUAGAGAGGUCCUCGAGUUGUUUGUUCUUAAUAAUUAAGAUCUCACACCCACCAUUUUUACCAAAAAAUAAUAUCCAUAACUAAUAAUGUGACCUUACUAACCCAAUACACAAUUAAAUUAACCCGCCUAUUUGACAACUCUCUCGAAAAUAGUUUCCCUUGUCUCCAAAACCCAUAUGAAAGAAAUCAUCAUUAGGCAAUAUGGGUGGUUUUGUUUUGUUAUAGAACAAAUUGAGCCAUAAAUUUGAUUAGCAAAAUCUUCAAGUACCCCAUUUCCACAACUGUAAAACCUACCUAGGAAUCAAUAGGAACCAACAAAAAAAUAUGGGGAAAAUGAAUCAUCAAUCCUCUUUUAGCCAUAUUCUUCUUCUUGAUUCUUCCCAAACACCAAAUCUUUUGUCAACAAAUACCCCAUCCAUUGAGGAUGAUCAUCAGCACCCACCUCCUGUAUCCUUAAGGUAAUUGGAGGAAGAAUAUGCACGUCAAAUGUUCGAUAAAAUGUGUUGAUCGUUUUAUUUGAUAGAAUUUGUGAAUGUUUUGGGAUGAGAAUUUUGUUUCGUUUUCUGCGUUCUGGUCAAAAUUUUUGUUCUUCUUUUCUUCUGUUAUGUCAUGUUAGCAUGAAUGCAUCGAUGGUAGAAAAAAUUAUAUAUGGAUGUAUUAUCGUUCAUGUAAAUAGUUUGAAAUGAGAAUUUUAUAUCUUUUUUGGGUUCGAGUCGAAAUUCGUUUAUUCUUUCAUCUCAUGUGUAUAUCGAGCUGAUGGCUUGACAAAAUAUGCAUGCAAAUUGUUCGAUGAAAUGUCUUAAUAUGAUAUUGGUUUCGUUAUUUGAAAUUUUUUAAAAUUCUAGUCAAAAUAUUCUCUUUUUUUCUGGUAGUUUUAUGGGGUUUUAUUCAAAAUUUUAUCUUUUUAUUUUUUUUAUCUUGUGUUUAUUUUUGAGUGUGAAUGGAUGAUAAUACGUUCAUAUCAAUUAUUCGAUGAAAUGCAAAAAUUACGUUGAAUCUCGUAAAUAUUUUGAAAUGGCUUUUCUCUUAUUGGCUUUGAUCAAUAUUUUUUGAUAUCAUGUUUAUAUUGAGCAUGAAGGCAGACAUGCACUGUUCGACAAAAUAUAUCGCAUUAAUCAUACUAUUUUGUUCUAAAAGAUCCUAAAAAUAAAUGUUUUUAACUCAAUCUUAAUUGAUAUUUUCUUUUUUAGAUUGUCUUUCGAUCAAAAAGGAAGAUGGCGGAUACAGUGGUGGACCAGUACUGGUGUCACAUGUGCGGCCACACAGUGAGCCCAGUAAUGGAACCCGAAAUCAAAUGCCCCAUCUGCGAGAGUGGGUUUGUGGAAGAGGUCUCUCCCAACAGCAACCUCACCACCACCAUAACCAAUUUCGACGGCGAAAACAACAACAACAAUAACGAAAAUACUAAUCCCGAUAUCGGCAUUAAUGGUACUAAUGAAAAUGGAUUCGAUGCGGAAUCAGAAUCGGAACGCGCAUUCUCUCUUUGGGCGCCCAUCUUUCUAGGGCUAAUGGAUGGCUUGGGUGCCUAUCGCCCAACUCUGGCUCUCUCUAGCAAUGCCAUCACCACCAACGAAGCUCAACAAAGUGAGCAACAUCAACAACAACUGGAUAGGGAGUUUGAGUCACUCCUUAGGAGGAGAAGGACUCGAAGCUCCAUUUCGAUCCUUCGCUUGCUCCACGACAUUCGUGCCAGGGCCGAAACCAACCACCAUGGCCAGGAAACUGAUGAUCAUGGUAGUCAAAAUCGAGAUUCCAGGAAUAGCAGGUUGAUUCUGGUCGAUCCGUUCAACGAAGGUGCAUUGAUACUCCACGGACCAACUGAGCCAGCUCGGCCCGAGAGCAUUGCUGCUCGAUCAUUCGCGGACUACCUCGUAGGUCCCGGGCUAGACUUGUUGCUUCAGCAUUUGGCUGAGAAUGAUCCCAACCGGUAUGGCACUCCACCGGCUCAGAAGGAAGCAGUCGACGCAAUGCCAACAAUUACGGUCGAAGACAACCUCCAAUGCGCUGUCUGCCUUGAGGAUUUCGAGCUCGGGAGUGAGGCCAAGGAGAUGCCUUGUAAGCACAAGUUCCAUGAAGGGUGCAUCCAUCCUUGGCUCGAGCUCCACAGCUCUUGCCCGGUUUGUAGGUUCCAGAUUCCUACAUCGGAUCAAGGUAGUUAAAAUCGCGAUUUCAUAUCUUAACAUGCUACGGUUCUCAUAUAGCGAUUACUAUGCAGCUGAUGAAUCGAAGACAGAGUCGAAUGCGAGUGGUGGAGGUGAUGGUGAUAGUAAUAGCAACAACCCGAGAUCGGGCGAAAGAUCAAGGCAGCAUAUGUUUCCAUUUCCAUUCAACGGUUCGCUUUCGUUCCUGAGGCCACCGAGCGGCAUUGGUACUACUUCAUCAGCAUCGGGAUCGACAUCAGAUUCUUCGCCCGUUGUGCAUCUGUUGGGAGAUUCCUCUACUCGUAGUAGUGACGAACCCGGAGGACGAGGACGAGGACAUCAUGAGUUGCCUUGAGCAGGAAGAAAAGGGGACUUUUUUUUGCAACAAACAGAAAACAGUACCGAUGUGGAUGGUCUUACCGUAAACUAUUUAUCAAUACGGUCUAGCGUUAACUGUUUAAGUGAUCGAACCACAUGCCAUUAACGUGUCGGUACGAGUUUAUCCGUUUGUUAUAUGCCUCUCUUGUUUUGUUAAUAUUUGUAACCUUUUUUCCUUCCCCUUUUUUUCUGGCUCAAAGAGCUUAUUAAUGUUGUUAUUCCUUCAGGGAAAUCUUGUUAAAUGAAAAGAGUUCAUGCAAAAACUUACCAUUAAGGACGAACCGGUUCGGAAUGGACUGUUUGGUUUUGACUUGAAAAACUUCGAACCUUUCGUCAUGCUGGGCCGAUUUGUUAAAAACCCUAUCUUUAAGAAAGCUACCGGCUUGAAGGCAUUGAACCGUUCGAGCUGGUUUGUGUUGUUCAUUGACUCAACUCAAAAAUAAGAUGAUGAAUCCUUAUAUGACUCGUGAACAUAAAUCAUUGAGUUGGAUAAUCAUGAAUACCGAAUCACAAGGUUCGACCGGGAUCUUUGACCCUAAAAUCAUUACUGAACCUAUCAGAACGACAUCGUUUUUAAAACUGAGUCACAAAACUGGGAGAUUUGUUUAUCUGAGGCUAAAGCAUCGAGAACUGUGAAUCCACUGCUACUCAGCUGGAGAAAGCUCUCUUCCGGCCACCGCCGAAUCAGUAUAAGAAGAAACCCCCACUUCUCACGGUGACGAUUCCGGCGGAAAAAACAGAGAAUAAGCUUCCAGAUUCAUGCUUAUACCAGUAAGUUGUGUUUCUUAAUCGUUCCUUUUUUAGGGCGAAUGAGCUCCAGCCUUCUUAAUUUUCAAUCUCUCAACAGAUUUCUCGAUUAUCGUUGUUUUCCUGUUCGUGGGUUUUGUUUAUUUGAUCUGGAAACGUAAGGAUUGAGCGGAAGAUAUGCAGACAACUUGUCAUCUCCGUCCAAUUUUCCACUUCUCCAGUCGGUACAAUUUUUAUUUUUUUCAUUCCUUUUGUUUUCCAUUGUUUGAAUUCUGAAUUGCAAAAUCUGAUUUUGUUUUGUUUGUUUGCAGAAGGAGUGUUGUGAAUCCAAUUGGGUAUGCGAAAGUUACGAACUUGAAUCGAAAUCGACUCUUCUUAACUCAGCUUUACAAGCAACAACCCGGUUUUCGAGCUAGAGCGAUCGAUGGCCGUCCACCGAUUUCAAUGCUCGAAGAAUCAGAAGAAGAAGAAUUAGAACAAGACGAUGGAAGCUCGAUGAAUCACACAAUCGACGAGCCACCGUUCUCGAAAUGGUCACCUCCAGAGUACAUAUGGAGGGGGCUAUCAGUGUUUGUAUUAGCAGGUCAAGUGAUCCAACGCACACUAACUGGUAAAAUCCACUGGAGGAACACAUUACAGCAGCUCGAAAGAGUUGGGCCGAAAUCCGUCGGAGUCUGUCUCUUAACAGCAGCAUUCGUCGGGAUGGCGUUCACGAUCCAGUUCGUCCGCGAGUUCACGAGACUCGGCUUGAAUCGAGCCGUCGGUGGAGUCCUCGCCCUCGCGUUCUCGCGCGAGCUAAGCCCCGUCGUAACCUCGAUCGUGGUUGCUGGACGAAUGGGGAGCGCCUUCGCCGCCGAAUUGGGAACAAUGCAGGUCUCCGAGCAGACCGACACACUGAGAGUUCUUGGAGCGAACCCCGUCGACUAUCUUGUUACUCCUCGAGUUAUCGCUCUGUGUAUCGCUCUGCCGUUCUUGACACUGAUGUGUUUCACGGUAGGCAUGGCGUCCAGCGCCUUGCUGGCGGAUAGUGUUUACGGCGUUAGCAUUAACAUCAUAAUGGAUUCAGCUCACCGAGCACUGAGGUCGUGGGACUUGGUCAGCGCAAUGAUCAAGUCGGUUUGCUUUGGCGGGAUCAUAUCGACGGUGAGCUGUGCUUGGGGGAUUACUACGAUAGGCGGCGCAAAGGGUGUGGGUGAGUCGACGACUUCUGCAGUUGUCAUCUCGCUCGUUGGAAUCUUCGUUGCCGAUUUCCUGCUUUCUUCGCUGUUUUUCCAAGGAGCUGGGGACUCUCUAAAGAAGCUUUAGUCAGUCACUGUUAGUUUGCUGCAAUUUUCUCACUGUGUUACUGGUAGUUUUAGCAUCGAACUUUCUUCGAAUGUUUUUCGAGUCAUCCAAUUGUUGCCAAAAGAAAUGCAGAUAUUGUUUCGACAAAACCAUUCAUCUCUUGCAAUAUGGAAGCUAUAUACCAGUCUUCGUGAAAUUGUAACGUACCAGUUGAAAGAACUGUAAUAGAGCCAUUCAGCAGUCGAAAAAACAGACAGGCAGUUCCCGUUUCAGCAGAUCACACAAGUAAUCAUAUGACUGUAACUUGAAGAAUAAGAAAGAACAAAAAACACGGUUCGAUUGAACUACAGGAAGUGAAUCUUAUUGUUGCCAUAUACAACAGAUGCAACAACAAAAAGGACAGUAGUAUUAUGAACAUGUGCAAGAAACUCCUUCAGAAAUCAGAAGCCAGCCAUUUUCAGCAGCUUUUUACUUGUCUGUCAAAACUUGGAAGCUGAGACAAGAAUGUCUCUAUGCAUAGAGCUUUCACAAGGUUGAAGAGCUCUGUGACCUAUGCACUUUGUCUUCUCGAGGAGGAUGUAGCGAGGUCGAUGGUGAAGCUGCUGCAUAGUACCCAGAAGAAGUUAGCUGGGCUACUGCCGGAAGCACACCACCUGCAAAUUCUCAAGAUACAGAUAGAUCUCGGGUUAACAAAUUUUCAUGCAAGACCGAAGCUUUUGCAGACAAAAACGCAAUCAAGUGACUGAUUAGAACAUCUCGUAAACUUCUGACAGUAGAACUUAAUGAAUUUAGAGCAAUGGGACUGUAGAUUCAAUCGGUCUGUUACUAAACAGUUUCGACAACGAACAGAAUCCAGAAUCAGUAAGAAACGUAAAAGUUAAAUCUAUUAAGAACAUUUAUAUAUGUAAAACCUAUGGGUAAUGGGAAAGCACAGCUCACCUGCAAAUCCUGCGCAAGCUGAGGCGAACACUAUCACUGGAGGUGCCUGCCAUAUGGACAACGAAAAUCGAUAAGAAUCGCAUUCUGGUUUCUAUACAAGUCCGGAAUGUAUCCUAAUCUAACGACCAGGAUAAUUAAUCAUCACGACACUGAAAACUAACGGACCAAUCAAAUGCGGAUCGAGUAUCGAAAAUGGACUUACACCAAUGAAGAAAUGCACCCACAUUGGUCCUUUUACGUACUUCUGAACUACCGGCAUCACUGCAUAACCAAAAAUCGUAUGCAUUAGACAGUACGACGAAUCAUCAGAUCAUCCGAACACAAUACUGAAACCCUAAUUAACACAAUCUUGCGUUGUUAAUUACCAUGAUUAAAUCCAUAGAAGGUGCUAGCUGUGCCACCAACAGCAGUUCCAAUCUGAACCCCAAAACAACAACAAAGGGAGAUAUUUGUUCACAUUCAUUGCUCCAAAUUCACAAAUCAAGCCCUAAUUAAACCAACCCAUCACUAAUUUGGGCAUUCAUCAUUACACUGAAAACUUCCGACGAUUGAAUUAGCAGCCAAUUUCACCGCGAGACUGAAAGAAAAGACGAAAAGAGAGCUAUCGUUACCAUGGAGAAACUGUCUCUGAGCAGAGGCCGAAUUGUCCAGCAGCUGGUUUCCUGCAACGAAAGAACGAACACGAAUCGCCGUUUUUUACAAUAUGAUCCAAUGAAGAACGGAAAAAAGGAGAUGAAUUGAAAACAAAGAAAUGAACUUGGACGAACCGCUUGCUUGGUUAGAGGGCCGGCGCAGUGAUGGCAGCGUAAGUCGCUGAGAAGCUCUGAUCUUGAAUUCGCCAUUAGUGACCUUCGUCUGUGAACAGGAAACCCUUUCAGCUUGGGCUCGGUGCGGUUUCAGUUGAGUGAAUAUCAACGAAUGUGAAGAGUAAAUAGUAAUCACUCAAUAACAAAUUUUUGUAUAUAGCGGUUUGGGUUGACUUGAUAUCGAUUUGAUUAUUCGAGCAUGGACCUUCCUACGAAAACCAUACUUUUGAAACCUAACAACCUAUGAUCUAUCCCCCACGUCCAAAAAUUCGACUUUACUCACCGAUCACUUUCCAUAAACCUAAUGUUAUUAACGGAUUUAUUAAUCGAUCAUAAACAAUCGUCUUCCAUAAUCCAUAUGGACUAUUACCUUGUAUCCAUAAUGCCUAUUGUUGCCAUCAACGUUUAGUUCUUGAAAAAGAAAAGAAUUGGAUGGAGCAGAUUCCCUAUCUAAGAACCGUAUUGAAAUUAGAGUUUAUGGUUUUGAUGGUCAAAUCAUGAAAUAACUGUUCCGAUUCAUCAUUUUAAUGAAAAAUUUUAUUUUCCAAUCCUCCGUAUUAUCAUACUUAAAAUCUAAUUCAACUCAUAUUUAAGAUCACAAUUGAGUAUCAACUCAGGUCACAAUCACCUACCUAAUGCGUUAUAACCAUGGUCCAUCAAUGCUUCCACCACUAACCAAAGACAUUCCCUUCUACCACGAGUAGUAUUUUUAAUCAAACCGAAUCGACCCCUACUUCAUCCUGCCGAACUCGUUCAAUCAAACCGAAUCGAACCGCAAGGCCAAACAAAGCCCACUCCUCCCUCAACAACCGGCCCAAAUCACAAUCCACCCCAUUACCGAUCCACAACUCCGAAACCGCCGCGGAUAACCUGCAACAGCCGGUAACACCUCCUCACACAAUCCUUCAGUCAACCGGUUUACCCAGCGGCCCCUAUAAAUACCCCUCCCCUAGGGUACAUAAACCAACCCACCGCUUCAACCAUUCUCCAGCUUCCGUUUUCUCUCUCCUCAUCGCUCUCCCCCUUUACCUUUCUCUUCUCCCAGAAACAAAUCCCUAAUCGCCGCCUCCUCCGAUCCUCUUAUCAAAAUCCUCUCAAGCCCUAUAAAAGAACAACCAAUUCGAAAUCUCAUUUCCCUCCCUCUUACUUUUCCCUCCCCCAAUCACCGAUCUAUUCCUUCACUGUUGCACACGAUUUCACGUAUUCAAACCCUAGGUUAUCGUUUUUGCAAUUCUUGAUCUGAUUCGAUCUGGUGAAAAGGGAAAGGAGAACAACCUAGAUUAGGCUCGGAUCUUGACUUUUAGGGGGAAACAAAAAGAGGGUUGUUGUUAUUAAUGGCGGAACAAGGAGGAUUGGAAGGGGCUCAGCCUGUUGAUAUUUCCAAGCAUCCUUCUGGGAUUGUUCCGACCUUACAGUGAGUGGUUUUUUCGGAUUUCUUUCUUGUUACCUUCCUUGGUUAUUGGGUUUGGGUGUUUAAUGUGAUUUGGCGUGUAGGAAUAUUGUGUCGACGGUGAACUUGGAUUGCAAGUUGGAUCUCAAGCAGAUCGCUCUCCAAGCUCGCAAUGCGGAGUAUAACCCUAAAGUAUGUCGAAAUUUUAGGGUUUUGAUAGUGUGAAAAAAAGGAAAAUCGGGAGGUCUGUGAUGUAUGUGUUCUUGUGUUCGAGGCUUUUGGCGGCUUUUGAUUACACUGAUGAUUAUAAGUGUUUGUGUGCCAGCGUUUUGCUGCUGUUAUUAUGAGGAUCAGGGACCCUAAAACUACUGCGCUCAUUUUCGCAUCGGGGAAGAUGGUAAGCUUGCUGAUCCUCAAUUCUUACAUCGGUGAAGUGGGUUGCUUAAAUUGAGUACUUUUUGCAAUCUGUUAGUCAAAUACUGUAAUGGGUUUGUUUGUUAUCUAUCAAUCUUCACUGCCCUUAGUUGUAUACCAACAAUUCAGUUCACUGUUACCUUGACUCAAAUGCAACUAGUUACAAACAAUAAUAACUAGUUAUCUUUGCUAGUUUGUUUUCUCUUCCUUGUCUGCUUUUUGACAUGGUAAGCUUGAUGAUGUUUUAGUUCUUUUUACUGAUGAAAAGUCUGUGUUGAUCACCUAUCAGGUGUGUACGGGUGCUAAAAGUGAGCAACAGUCUAAAUUGGCAGCGAGAAAGGUGAGUUUUGUUACCUCUGAGAUGGGUUCAAGUAGGGUGUAGUUAAGUAUGUUUUCGAAACUGAUUUUUGAGAUGCUAUGUUGUUUUCCAGUAUGCUCGAAUCAUUCAGAAGCUUGGCUUUCCAGCAAAAUUCAAGGUUUGAUUUCCCUCUCCCUAGUUGCUACUCCUUUGCAAUGUGUAUGAUUUCUGAAGUUGGAAUUUCAGAUUUAACCUUUUUUGCGAAACUUUUGAUAGGACUUCAAGAUCCAAAACAUAGUCGGCUCAUGUGAUGUGAAGUUCCCUAUUAGGCUAGAAGGUCUCGCUUACUCCCACGGUGCUUUCUCAAGUGUAUGUUGCUUAAUCUUGUUAACUUACAAUCAAAAGUCAUAUCAGUUAAUCCAAUGUUCUAUUGUUUCUUAUGGUUUGCAUUUGUAUUUCCAUACCAGUACGAGCCCGAGCUGUUCCCGGGGCUGAUUUAUCGAAUGAAACAGCCGAAGAUUGUUCUCCUCAUUUUCGUCUCUGGCAAGAUCGUGAUUACAGGAGCUAAGGUCAGAGAUGAGACCUAUACAGCAUUCGAGAACAUAUAUCCUGUGCUUACGGAGUUUCGGAAAGUGCAGCAAUGGUAUGUUGCUCUUGCUCUUUCUUUCAUUCUCUCCUCUUAACUUUCUCUAGCUUGUGAUCUUAACGGUUACCCUUUGUUUGCUCGUGUAGAUACGCUUUCCAUCGUGUGGAGAGAGCUUUCGUUCUCGAAAUUUGGCUGGCAUUUCAACCUUUUUCCUACUUCCUUCACAUCUAAAGAAGAAGAAACUACGAAAAAUGCACGGGGGAGGAGUGUCGAAUGUUUGUAUGUCAUCUGGGAACUCAUUAGCCUACUUGGAGACAGUUUCAUAUGUAAUGUUCCAAAACUGUUCUCAGAGACUAAAAGAAUGAAGAAAUUGAAGAUGAGAAAAUGGAAGAAAUAGUUCCAAUUUUGCCAUUGAACAUUCGUGAAUAUUAGCUGGAAAAAAAUGUAGUUUGUUCAAAAAGAAAGGGUUUAUUUUGUCUUUCCUGUUCUUACUUAUGGGAUUAUCUUCAAGUUCACGUAAGGAUUCUUGGAUUUCAAGUUUGUUACUGUCCUUAGGUUUAUUUCUGGCAUUUAUGUUACAACUAUAUUGAUCGAGUAAUCCAACCGGUUAUAAAUUGAUCGAGUCUCCCUCGUUAAGAACUGGAGCAUCGAACUUGUUACCUUAACAGAAAUCCUAGUGGUUAGAAGAGUAGAUCAAGAAGAUGAUUGCAUACCAAUACUAUUAACCAGAAAGCUCAGUACAUAGAUCAAUCGAAAACGAAUGACUCGAACCAAGUCGGAGAGAUUACCCGUAACAGAGUACGUACAGAAACUGAACGACGAGCAAGCUCGCGAGACUCAAGCAAGUAACUACACCAAACGAUCUCACCAAUUCACAUGCUAUCAUUGUCAUCCUUCUUUGUUCCAGUGCGCCGGGCUUGAGCAGCAACCGCUACUACCAAUCAUUCGAUACCAAACCAAUCGGUCUAUAGGAAAAACUGUAAGAACUUGAAAAAAUAUAACUCACGUCUAUAGAGAGGACAAACAGUCUCUAUGUUACCGGUUACAUACCCAAUCGAGUUUUCUUUCUAUACCAAAGCAAGUGAUGAUACCAACAACGACACGACCAACAAGACCAGACCGAUUCUCAUCGAUGGAACCGAAGCGGUCUCGAUCUGGAUGAUGAAAUUGCAGUUAUUCUGAGAUAUGUUCUGCGUGGUAACAGUGGCUAGGCCUUCGAAAUUGCAGGCCAAGUCGUCCUGGUUCUGCACCUGGUAGUACAUGUUGAAAGCAUACGAUGCGUUCCCGUUGGCAUCAAGCCCGUUGCACGAGGAUCCAUACCCGAGCGCGGUGCAGUCGGAGAAGGUACAUGCGUAGUUGAUGUUAUCAGCAAGCUUGCUGAGAUCUUUAGCAUUUGGAUUGAACACACACCACUUUGCUGGGAGGUAGUCCACUCCUUUCGCGCCCACAAGAAACCGGUUCUGCCCUUGUCCUGAAAUAAUUGAGGAGUCUGUUACAAAAAUCGGUUAAUCCGAUACAAACGAAAAUUCGAAACCAGAUCGGAUUUACCAUACCUGAAAGAUCAAGCGCAAACUUAGGUUGUCCAUCGUACCGAAAGAUGCCCCAAUGCCGCUCAAAGCUCCCGGGAGCAAUGCUCUUGGCAUCUUCAUCUAAAAGGCCGAACAAGUAAACCUCGAUGAACCCCGGUCGAAGAGGAGUCCCUUUAUUCGCAGCGAGCCGCGGCAUAAGCCCGUUAUAGAACCUAUAAGCAUUGCCAAUAUUACCAUUCUUAUCUCCAUCAGUAGGCCACCCCACUUCCCCAACUAUGAUAGUCAUGUCUCCGAAUCCGGCAGCCUUUAAAGCGGAAACCAAAGUGUCAAAAUUCGCAUCGAAAACGUUCGUGUACUGAAUCCCGGACCCCCGGUCCACUACCGGCUGAGUCACACCGUCGAAGAACGCGUAGUUGAAAGGGAAAUCGUCGUUCCCGUAGAGGCUUAGGAACGGGUAGAUGUUGACCGUGAAGGGGGCCUUGUUCCGGACCAUGAAUUGGACCAUCGCGGUCAUUAGGUCGUUGAUGUCUGGCCGGAACCUUCCGGCUGAGGGGUAAGGCUGGUCGUCGGGGGAGAAGUAGACGUCUGCAUUUAAGGGGACGGUGGCUUUGAUGUUGCCGAAAUUCGCCUCGUUUAAGGCGUUCUGGAUGUUCUGGAGUGCCGGAAAUGUGAUGCUUUCGAAUGUUCCGUUGUAUGUCUUGAGGAAUGGUUCGUUCCCAACUGCUACAUACCUGUUACAGUUAGAAAUUUUUAGGGAUGCAUGAAAUCAAGCUGGUACGGUACCGUGGUCGAACUGGUAAGACUAAUAGUUUUUAAGAUGGUUCGAACUCAACCAUAAAAAUCAUAACGUAACUGUAAUGAACCAGGUGUUGAUCAAAUGUCAGGCAACUCGAUCGAACCAGCAAGAUUAACGACAUGAUCGGACAGUACCGACUCGAUCCUAUUGAAGGCUGAACCGGUAAGACUAAUCGUUCAAGAUUCAACGACAAAAAGAACCCGUAAUCAUGACAGAACUGUAACAAAGCGUUCGAAACAACCAAACUCCCAUAUAAGCAUUUCCCAAUCUCCCCUCACCGCGAUAAACCAUAGCGUCCCAAUAACUCGAAUCAUUAGAAUGCAAAGAUUCUCCACAUGACACCAGAGGCCUUGAUAACAAAGAUGUCUUCUUUUCGAAUCCCGAAAGGCCCCAAUCUCUUGCACAAAGACAAUACCGAAACUGUGCAAAAUUCAAACUUCCCCGACAGCCUUCCGUUCAAGACACAUGUUACUAAACAAUAUAGAAAAAACCAAUCUUUCCACCUCUCCCAACAACUCGAAUUAUCAGGAACACAACAGUUCAUAUAGAAACCAAUCACCAACCUCAAGCUUGUCAGCUCGAGUGUAUCGUGAUAGCACCAGUCUCACCGAAACUGCACAAACUCCAUACUAUCCCGAGAGAACUUCGGUUCGAGAGCACAUAUUAACAAACAACAUAAAAAAACAAUCUUCCCACCUCUCCCAACAACCCGAAUCACCAGAAGACAACAAUGAUUCACAUAGAAAACUAAACACCAACCCUCCCCGGCAAACUCGAAUUAUAGGGACGUAACGGUAACUCACUUGAUAUUGACGCCGCCAUUGAAGACAUAGCGGGAGAUGUUCCGCUUGACCCAAUCCUGAGCGUUGCCAUAGCGAGUCAUGGACUGGAGCUGAUCAUUAGGGAUAGCCACCAUAACUUCCAGACUGCUCCCAGCAAGAGCAUUCAUGGUGUUGGCAUCAGCAUCAAACAGCUUCACCUUCUGAAUCCCAUUGUCUUCCAGAAGCUUCACCACAGCCUUCGGAUCCAGCUUGUGUGACGCCAUAGUCCCCCAAUUCACUCCCAAUCCAUCCACAGCGCUCAAUAUCCAUAGUAACACCAUCGCCCAAAUUGAAAUCCUCCCCAUAUAUUUUUGCUUCAAAGUUGUAAACUUCAAAGAGAAAGGAAUUGGAUUCCUGACUUUACAGAGGAAAGGUUUCAAUUUCCGAAAAGGAAUUGGAACAAAGCAGAACUUUUUUUGGAGAUUCGUAAGCUUAGGAAAUUGAAAAGAAUUAGGGUUAGUAAAUUCAAAUUAAUAAAGGAAGAGAGAAAAAGGAAACAUAGCAGUAAUGGCGGCGACUGUACAGAGAGCUAAUCAAGUAAUCAGAUGAGGAUUCUACUAUAUGGGUUUUCUUCAGAUUGAAAAACUCAUAGAGAAAGUGACAGCCGUUUCCCCAGAAGAUGGGAGCUGGACACUGAAGCAACUCGAAAAAAAGAAUGGCUGGCAUUAAUGGAGGUUUGAGUUUAGGACCAAUCAGAUGAUCGGGGGUUUCUUAGUUUUCUUCAGAUUGAAGAAAUCUCAGUUUCUUUUACUGAGAAGAUGUGAGCUAGAGAGCUCUGAUGAACACUCACUGCAAAGCUUAAGCUGGAAAAAUGGAAGAAUCAGAGGAUAUAGUUAGAAGGUGGAGGGAAAAGGUUAAAGAAGAGAUCUUUUGAGAGAUUUAAGUUUCCAGGUGGACAAUGGAUCUGAGAGAGGUUUCUUUUUGAAAGUUGAGAGGUUGAAGAUGGGAAAUGGAGGAUUUUUGGGUGAACGUGGUGGAGAUGACGUAACGGAUGAUAGAGAGUUUAUUUAUUUAUAGCAAAAAUUAAUAAUAAAAACAACAUUAAUGGAAACAAAACCACGUCACUUCCCUUGAACGGUCUGGUACGAUAUGUGCAUAUAUUUCAAUAUCUUUUAAGUGUUUAUCAUUAAUGUUUAUCGUGUUCGAACCGAAUGGGUUUUGAUGGAUGAUCGUAAGUUGUAACAACGGUUGACAUUGUGAUCUCUUAACUUUGAACUCUAGAACAAUACGAUGCACGUAGCGUUCGAACAAGUAAGUUUAGUCGAAUACAAGAUAAUAAUGGUUUCGUCCACUUUCGUCAUAUUUUCAAUAUUAAUUCGAAGAGAAUCACAAAUUGAACCUAACGAAAAGAGAGGUUUGACUGAGAUUGACGUUCUAGACGCUCGUUCAUAAAAAUCUCACAUUCCCAUACACGUUCAUUCAAACUAAACAUAGCAAACAUAAUAAUUCAAUCAAUUUUGUUCAAAUAAAACAAAAAUUUGGAUUUGAUCUUAAGUUCCUAACUAUAUUAAUAUUGUUUUGUAAGAAACUCGAUCAACGGCGGAACCAGAAUUCGUGAUAGGAAAAAGGGGUGGCCAAGUUUAUUGGAAAGUAUGUUGGCCAGUUGGUUACCGACAUAAAGCAGUUGUUCACACCUUUGGUUUCUUUAUUUGAUUUCCUACUCAUUCCUACGUUGCAGUCCGACUUCAUUUCUUUAUCUCUACAACAACCAAUUGGAUUUCAUCGACCACAAUCUUCUAGUCAACAAGACAACCAUCACAGUCGUUCUGCAGUUGCAGUUGGUGUCCUUCCUUGUUCAUAUGUUGCUGAAUGCACCUCCACUGAGACUAAGAUCCUGAGUUGAAGUAGAAGAUGGGGUGGUACUAGUUCAUUUGCUGCUACUAGUAGAGCCUCUGGGGACAGCUAAUGCAUUAUUGGAACAGCUAAUACAGAUCUGAGUGCAUAAAAAGCUUCUUGAUGAACUCUUGAAACAGGAGGAUAUUAUGCUUACAAUUUCAAACAGUUGAUUGAUAUGGUUAUUGAUAAAGGUCAAUUCCAUUUAUUUAUAGGUACUCAAAGAUAACAGACAUGAUUCAGGGCGGUUUAAUGUUGGGGAUUGUUAUCUUGUAGGAGUUGUAGUAAAUUAUGUUUUCAGGACGAUUGAUAUAGAGAUUUAUCCUUCAGCAGCUACUUCUGCUGCAAUGCUUUAUCAUCCGAUGCAGGGUCAGUAUCUCAACUUCUCAAGAAAAAAAAUUGUUAUUACAACAUUGACCAUGAUGAUGAUGAUGAUGAUGUCGCGAUCGCACAUCCUUACACUAUUUAUGUACUUUUGUUCAAGAGCAUGGCCGGAGCUGGUCGGGACCGAGGGAGGGAGCCUGGGCGCGGGCCGCCACGACCGUUACCGAAGGAGGUCUUCUGACAGCGGAUGUCCGCUACGAUAGGGUUUGAGUCUUUGUCGUAUCGGUUAAACCCGAUCCCACUCCCCUCCUCUCAAACAAAUUCUGUUGUCUCUACUAGUGUUCAUACGUUGGCUGGACAAUCUCGCCUGUUUGCGUUACUUACGGGUCAUUAAUGGUAGAAGUAGUUUUUGGAUAAAAUUUCGUCUACGACAAUAUAAUUCUUCAGUAUAUUUACUUGAGCACAAAAUUCAGGUCAACGGGUUCGAUAAUCAAUAAGUUUGGUCUAAUUGGGUUGUGGGUUAAACGAGUUACAAGCAAACUGGUCACGAUCAAACAUUUCGUGGAUUCAUCAGGUCGCAAAUUGAACACACAUUGUUGAAUUUUUCGGUCAGUUCAGGUUAUGAAUCGUACAACAUCGAACUGGAUUGAAACGGCACUUUGUGCAACCGGGUCUUUGUGGGUUCAUUUGAAUCGUCACAUGCAAUGCUUUCAUGUGAUCCGGACUUUGUGCUGCUCAUACUUUUAUGGACAAGUCACGCUGGCUAGAUUAUGAUCUGCAGGGUCACAUACCUCACCAUUGUGGAUAUCUCGGUUUUUGAGGAGGCAGAGUUAUGAGUUGCUGGCUUUUAUCUGGGUACGGGAAUUCGGUUGAUGAUCGAAGCGGACAAAAUUCAGCCAGUGAUCGUGUCCGAAACAAAAACCGAAGCCGUGACCUUGGCCAAAUUCAGUUCGACCAUGACCGACUGUACAUUACCAAAGUAUUAUAACCGAGCUGAAAUAUAAUUUCGACUGAUCUCAGGGAAUACAUGAACAAUAUUACAUGUGUUUUCGACAUUUAACUCGUUGAUUUUAAUCCAACUUGGGUAUCUAACUUACUGAUUUCAAUCUGAUCAGACAAGAAGAUCAUCCAUGUCUGUGUGGUUUUAAGUCCGAUUCGGUGAUUGACGAAAUUGAGGCACACGGGUCCAAACUCCAACCCACAAGGCCACAACCACAGCCGAUUUCGCAUCCGAUGGCUGGGUUCCCCAUCUCCUACUUUUAGUCGAUUCGGAUCCCAGUACGGAUUGGGUCAGCCAAUGGUAAGACUAGGGCUAGGUCAGGUCAGGUGUUGGCAGCUCUACCGACAACCAAUUGAAUUGGGGACUCGAAGAAAUCUACUGUAGACAAUGAUGAAACGCGUCUGGUUAUUGAAGGAGACCUCAGAAUGCAGAUGCAAAUUAUCCUAGAAAAACAAUUAGAUGGAAAGAAACAUUGGAGGAAGAGAACAUCACUUGGAAGGAAAUGGCCAUCUCUUGACCUCUGCGCCACAUCGUCUAGACGAUCAGCUCAUCUUCAAGAUAGUUGUACUCGAAAGUGAACUCCGUCUUGAUUCGCUGACACCUGAAGAAAAAGAGAACAGAGAGAUGGUCAAAUCGAACGUCAAGGAGAAAACACAAGAGAAGUAGGUAAUCUAUGAUCAAAGAAAUCGAAAGUACCAUCCGUGUUGGUGGUCGUCGUUGGCGAUGUGGAAAUCGAAGUAGACGUACGUCCCUUGCUCGAACUCAUCAGUGGCGAGUUUGGGCUCCUCGUGUCGUUGGAACCACGUGUUGUAUUUCCUGUGAUAUCUCCACGAUCCCUUCUUCAGCUCCCUUGCAGCUAGAUAUUGCUGGUAAGUGCUCUGGCAAAACGGAAAAAUACACGCGAUGAGCAAUAAGAAAACGGAACAAUCGAUGAUACGAAAACACAAGAUUGUAUCUUGCAUCACCUGUUGGUAAUAGAACGAGAAGAACAAUGUGUCGGUGCCGUAGCUAUCUUGGGUCAACCUUUCCCAGAACCCAGGACUGUUUACAAUGGGUGCUUGAACUUGAGGGAAGCUAGAAGGCGUGACGGUCGGAUGCCUCUGCGGUAGCAGAAAGUAUUUAUAAAUUAUAAUCAGACUUUUGACGCAUUCGCCUUCUCCAGAGAUGUUAAUCAGAAAAGUUCGGAAGGAUCGUUACUGAGAUAUAGCUCCGUGCACGUUCCGAGUCUUUGGGUUGAGGUAGUUUGUGAUAAGCAGCCUCAAGAAUCUGCAAAGUGUAGCUAUUGUCCUGCACCGAACCGGGACUUACAGCAGCUGCAGCGGGAUUAUCACCAAUGGCACCAAGGUCAGCAACGCUUCUACGGCCGAUAACUCCUAAACCGCUGGAUUGCUGCGUAGAAGAUUGUAUUGGUUGCCCAGGUGAGAAAUCUGCGUCUCUUGGGACUUGAACAGGCUCUGCCAUUGAGCUUGAGACCUGGACACCGACAUCAAACACAAAUUUAACGAACACAAAAAACAAGGGGAAAAGAAUAGCCGUGGUAAGUGUUCGAUUAAUAGUGUUCUUUCACAUACAGCGUCUGUUGUGUGAAGAGCUUUGAGCUCAUCCUCACUGGCAAGACUCAUACCCAGUCCGGCCAUGGGACCAGAUUCGGAGGCCGAGUCAUCUGGUAAUUGCUGCGAUUGCUGCUGCUCGUCAAUUUUCGAAUGACCAGCAUCUGCAUAUUCGUGAACAAAAUUCAAUCCGAGCUCAACAUAUAACGAGCGGGAAAUAUCACAAUCGCUACUCAAAGAGUCUUAAAGGGUACCGCUGUUGGUUACGGAACUUGGUAUCGCACCUGGUUGACUAGACUGUUGAAGAAUUAAGCUUGGCUGCUGCAAGGUGGCAGCUGCAGGAUUGUUGAACCCUGGUGCUUGAGCACUUAGACCUAGGGCAGCUUGGGAGGAUAGAGACGAGUUUUGAGAGUUAUACUGCAAAGUAUCAAUACCGAUUUUAGUGAAACAGUACAACUGAACUUCUUUCUAAGAUAAAGGUGACCGAGUUCAAUAUUGAACUAAAUUUGCAAUAAAGAUUCGCUAAUAAACUGUAUGUGAGGAUGCUGGAUUGGACUAAACAAAAAAAAUAUCAUGCUGAAUUUAGUAAUAGCACGAAGAACACUUUGUGUCUAUAACAGACCUGUUGCAGAAGCGGGUUUUGUUGUGUCGGGAACUGCUUAUGACUGCCACCUGGAAGAGAUUGCAUGCCAAUUCCAUGGCCUUGUUGGACUUGCUGAAAACGUUGCAAGAAUUUCUCCCUCUGAUCAGGGGCUAUUUCAGUUCGAGUACGAAGUUGACCCUGGAACAAAAAUUAUCAAGUUAUUUAACAAAUCUAGUUUAGAGCUCACAUGCACUACAUUAAGGAGAAAGAGUUACCGGUUCAUUUGGAUUCUGAAAAGAACUUCCAGGUCUCCAUUGCAUACCAGGAACCGCAGGAGGAGAAAAGACUCUGCCAACUAACCCAGCACCUUCAUUACCAGAAUCUACUACAGUACCAUCAUUAGCCUUGCCAGUUUGAGACAAGAUCAUCCGAUUACUUAAUGGCGAAUUCAAAGACUGGCCCAUUCCGCUAUUCCCAAUUCUAUCAUCUGUUACCAAAAUGUUUCGCUUUGUCAUGUCAGAGACUAAAGGUACUGCACCAAGCGAUCCAUUGCUAGGAACUGUACCAGAAGUAAGAGGGGUACUAGCUGCGAGCUGGCUAGUCAGGCCACCUCGGCCAAUUCCCCUUGUUAUGCCAGCAUCACCCAGAGAGGAAGAUGGUCUAUGGCCAGGGAUUCCUGUAGUUUCUUCAUCCUUUGCAGGAUGUGUAGGAAGGGCAGGAGACGAAGGGAUAGCAAUAGCAGCAGCAUUUUCUACAGGCCCUUGAGCAGCAGUUGGACCUGGGCUAGCUACAGGAGCUGCUGGUGCAGCAGCAAAUGGAUGGGCAGGAACACUCACGGGAGUUGAAUGACUAGCAGAUGGUGUAGAUGGAACAGAAGAACCAAUGAUAGUGCUUUUUGCAGGUGGCGUUCUAGGAACAACAUCAGAAUUACUGUCUUGAGAAGCUGUAUCAUCAAGUUGCUCUGGGACAGGGGCCGCAGUACUACCGGCAGUCUGGAAAGAAUCACAACACACUAACGUAAGCAGACAAAUCACUUGACAAUAGAGUUAGCGUACAACAGUUCUUGUUGCUCAAUCCAACAUGACAUAAUGGAAAACCGGAAUGUAUCAAGGCAUCAAAAGCUUCUCACAAAAAGGAGGGUUUUCCACAACCAUAAUAAAUUGAUCUAACCACGAUCUCAAACCAACCAGUGAAUGAAGUGAACAAAUAAACAAUAUUGUUCCAAAGAUUCAACAGGGUCUGUUUCACAGCAGUGUCGGUAUCACCAUCCACAAUUUGCACUCCAUGAAGGUCAAAGUGAAGGGGAGUUGGCAUAAACUUGGCAAACUAUCACAUGAAUCAUCUUGUAUACGAGGGCCGGCUAGAAAGAUUAGGAAAUCACAUGCUUAUUGGUACCAUAACAGUUAACUUCUCCGAGCUUUGUCAAUUAUUGAAAACAUUCACGAUAGUACAGAAUAGCAGAAGAAAGUACAUACGCUUAAUUGUGGUGCGGCAGACGCCGCGUUGGGAGACUUCAGACUAUGUACAGGUACACCCUACAAUAUACAGAAAAAAAUAUAACGACUUUAACGAAACUGCUGAAAAGAGGACGCCAAAUGAUAGUAAUCAGGAAAUCGUCAGAAAAUUGGGAAGUUAACUUGUGUAACAGUCCCCCUAAGCAAAUGGCUAUCACUCAUAGAUGAACAAAACGCAAUGUAUACUCAUUUACCUUGACAAGACCAGGAGGAACAGUUGCUACAAGAUCUUCCAGAGACUCUACCUUGUCUAAUGGCAACGAGCUAUAAAGCUCAUCAACAUCACUAAAUUCAUCAAAAUCGUCCUACAAGAGAUGAUAGAACAGCAACAUAUCAAAUUAAGUAGAAAAUCCGACAAACACCUGCAUAAAAUAUCAUCCCUUUCAGUGAGCCAAAAGCAAUGCAAGGUGGCAGACCCAUCAGAAACUGGAGGUUGCAUUUGCAUCUUAAUAUGGCGGCCUCUACAGCAGUAAAUGGUAGAAUAAGACCGUACAACUAUAGAAAGAGUUGCACAAAAACCUGAUUACGCUCCACAUAGUCAUCGAUGAAAUCUUUAACAUCAUUGACCUGCUCAGCACUCAAUUCAUCGUUAUCAAGUAGCCUCAAGAUCAACUCUAACUUCAUUAUAUGAGCCUUGUGCCGUUGUAUAGAUGUCUCUAAGUGUGUCUGAGAACCCAAAGCAGGAAAAUUAAUAUCUAUAAGAUAAUAAGAAAGUUAAAAGGACUUUCUCUUUUCCCCCUACCAGUCUAGGUGGCCUUGUCUUCCCUUUCUUCACGGUAAGACCCUCCAUUUCAGCUUCGAAGCUAUCAAUCUGGGAUUCUAAUUCGCUAACCUACUCAAGAGCAAAGAAAGAAAUUGAAAUCAUUAAACCAAUACUGUGGAAUAUACAAGACUAUUUUCGUCUGCAAAAGAUUAAAAGUGCUCAAGACAUCAUGUAAACAAUCAUAAUCAAAACAGCAACUGCUAUUAACUUAGGGAGAAAUAAAUAGGAAGGACCAAUAUCUCCAAGACUCUAACAACUCCUCAUUCUUAUGGCUCAGAUUGGCAUUCCGUUCAUCAAUCAUUGGACUAAUGUCAAGUAUGCGAACUCUGUAAGAUUCAAAAUAAAUCGAAACCUGAGUUUCUGGAUCAUCAGAAUUCAAAGGUGCUGAAGAGCACUUGUAUGUUUCUUUCACAAAAUCCAUGGUCUCUUCUCACAUAGAACCGUAAUCCCAUUAAUAAAAAUAAAUAAAUAUACACCAAUGAUAUUUUCACAUACCAAGUUGUUCAACCAAUCUCUUGUCUCCGAUUUAGCCUUCUCCCUUGGAUCCUACCAACAGCAUAAUACGAACAAAUUAAACAAACGAAACACUAGCCAGAGAUAUAAUGAGAAAUAUGAUCACAAACAUUCUCAAUACUUGUUUACAAACAAAUACAUGGGUUGCAAAGAGUUUACAGAUAAAAUUGCUCAUAAAAAGAAGAGAAACCAACAAAACUUCCAUAACAAUCAUAAGAGAAAGGAAGACGAUUUUGGAUGAACCAGAAGUCCUGUCAAUCUCAUAUCUGGUUAUCUGCACACACCUAGAUUCAUCCAUACAGUAAUAAUAUGGCUAAACAUAAAGAUCUUACAGUUUUCGGUUGUUGACCAAGCCCUUCUUUUGAGAAUGCUUUUGUCUUUGUUUCCUUCUCGCAUAUCUUAAAUCUUUCCAUUUCACGUUCAAUCAGCUUACGAGCAUCCACCAGUGCCUGCUCAUAAGAGGCACUAACCUAUGCACACAGAAACCCAAAGCAAAGCAGAGACAAAAUCAGAUACUAAAUCACAGCAAGCUAUACACCAAAUAAACUAACAAAGAAGCAGUACCAAAAUAUAACAAGAGCCAAGACUUCAACCCAUCAAGAAUGAUUAUCUUAAAAAGAGAAUAAAGUAGGAAAAUGCAAGGAAACCAGAGCGCACGUCACAAUUAAACCUCCCAUUGCUCUACAUUUGAAACCCAGUUAUAAUUACUACAGACAGUUUGAUGAACGAGACAACAUAAUCCAAGAAGUGCAGCAGACAAUCAAACAACUGCUUCAUUUGAAAUAUAACUUAAGAAACAAAGUGAAGCAGGCAGCACUAAAUCUUCACCAGUAUGACAGAUUCAUUCUCUCACAAAAAACGUCUUGACAUAUACCGUUAGUAUGGACUAGCUUUAGGCAUUGACUUCAUAAUACAAAAAAAGUCUAUAAACAUUUCCAACCGCUACACUUUUCAGCAAAAGUUUUAUAUAAUUCGGGACAGAAACCACACCUUCUUAUCCUUGAUCUCACUUGACUGAAUCCAUGUCUUGAUCUGGUCUCUGUAUCUCUGCAGUUUCUUGAUCUCUUUUUUCAAGUCCGCCUCAAACUUCUCCUUCUGAUUUGCAUUGUCCGUAUCAUAAACCUAGAAAUAACAGUGCACUUACAUCAGCUAACAGCAACCCAGUCAGUUUUAUCAAAGCUUUCCAACUAAGCUGCUUCUUAUUAGAAAAUUCCGAUGGGAGUGCAUUCAAAUCUAGGAAAUAGCAGCUGGUUCAAAUUCUUAAUGCCCCAUUUAGGAAAUGCACCAGUCAUCUCCAAUUUCACUCAAAUGCGCGCAAGCUGUUCUAGAUUCAGAAACACUUCUCUCCAGGUGAAGAAAACGACUCCUAAAAUAGUCAAGUAAUCAACCCAAACAGCGAUUCUCUAAUUCCACCUGCAUUCCAGCGUUCUCAAACCGUUCCAGAGAAAUCUCAAAAGUUGGCACAAUUCCAGCUUCUUCGACAGCCAAACAGAACGAAGUGAUUCAGAAACCAAACGAGAAACAGCACAAGAGAACAGAAGCAACCUUGUUCCAGAUGCUAUCGAAGACGUCUACACCUUCCUGGACCUUCUUUAGUACCCGAUCGAUCUCCCCCUGUAGCUUCCGACUAGCUCCCAUCGCCUAACGAUCUUCAGAAUUCUCCGGUUCGUCUAGUUAUCAUCCAAAGUAAGAAUCAAAAAACGACCAGCUAAACUUGAAUCGGAGCUUCAGUUUAACGACGUAGAUCGAUUACAGGCUAUGCUGUUCUUGGAGAAUUAGGGUUUCCACCUCUCUCACUGUGGCGCAAGAUUUAGCGACGAUAACUACGAACGCGCGAGCUAAGAACACCAAGAGAAAAUUGACUCUGAAACUGUACGGAAACCGUAAAAAGUUAAAAAGCGAUAUGCUCCGGUCGGGCCGUCAUUGUCUUGAUUUUUUGGGCUUUGGCCUGGAAGACCUGGGCUUUUUUCUCUCUCUGGUUAGAAUGAAAAUGGGCCAGAACCUCAAUACUAACCGGCCUAGUUAGUAAUUACUGUACGGAUAUAAAACGAUAUUAAAAUGUGAAUAUAAAUUAUAAAUUAUUAAAAUUUCUAUUCAAUUCCUUAAAAUAUGUAUAUAAAAUGUGUAAUACAUGUUUUAUACGUGUUUAAUACGUGACGUAUCAAAUAAAUGUAAAAAAUUAAUUAGUUUUAUAAUGGUACGAGAACGGAAGUUUUAAUAAUACGUAUACGUGGAUUAUACGAAUAUUAAACGGGUUUGUGGUAGCUAGGUUGGACGGGUCCGAAGCGGGUAUUUUGAUGGUUUUCAAAACUGUCUCAGAAUGUCCAAUCAGUGAACUAAUCUUAGGUGGUUCAACCCUUAAAAUGCUAAUCAUUUACGAUCUAAUUGUGAUUAAACUGUAAUUAUAUCGUGAUAUAUAUGCUGUAUUAAUCAUUUUCAUCAUGAAACACCGUCAAACCAAAUUUCUACAUACUAGAGCAAUCAACUUCAUUGAACGACAACAUCGGUUGUUCCAAGUCGUAAGUGACCAAGAAGCCCAUCUGAGCCAAAUUACCACACCCCGGUGUCGGUCGACCGGGUAGGUACAAACGAUAGGCACGCCAUGUCAUCCGCCGUCUUCACGAACAUGUUUGCUGGCUUGAGCUCAAACUACGUUGCGACGUGGUAGCCGUCGAGACCCAAUUGCAACGUGACCGUCGGGACAUCGAUGUCGGACAGUGCGUGGUAGCAGGCAUUGCUCACGUUGUAGCACAAACCCAACGUUGCUAGUGGGUCUGCUACUCCGAUAAGUUGUUUGGUCUGAUUUUCGACUUUGAGGGCAACUUCUUCGUAGAACUUGACCGGGAGGUAGGUUAGUUGGGUCCGUACGUCCAUGAUCAUGUUAAGUACCGUCUGAUUGUCUGUGUCAAGAUCAAUGUUGUCAGAAUCUGGUUGGAUGUUAAAUCCGAAUAAAUGAGAAGUUAAAGGGUUAAAUGAUUGAACCAAUAAUAAACAUUAUUUCUAUAAUAAAAAUUAAAAAAUGAAUACCAUAUUUGUAAACAUCAAUUCGAAAUACAAACACAAUAUUAUUGUGAAUAUAGUGAUUUUAAAUUCAUAAUUGUUUAAUUCAUAAUUUAUAUCUUUAAAGUUGUCAAUGAAUUCACCACAUUAUUUUGAGUCGAGUCAAUGAAUUCCGUAAAACCGGCUACAAAGAGUCAUAAAGUUUUGGAAGUUUUAAUUGUUAAUAACAUCAAACCGGAAUAUAUUUUUAUGGGACCAAACUGGUCGGACGAAAUCUUAAGGUUGGACCGGAAGGUCGGAUUCGGUUACCUUGGGAGAACACAACCGUCUCAUUGCCGAUGCUGAUUACUGACAGAACGGAACGGUAAUCCGAGUACGGAGCGGAAAACCACAUGGACGUUGACUUUGUGCCGUUACGUUGAUCUUCAUAGUCAGCUCCAAACCCAAUCUUGCUAGUGCCGUUAUUCACAAACGGAGGGCUCAAGCAAUAAGUGAAACUCGUACUCAACGAGUACUCGUAAACGGUCAACACCAUCGAGGUGGGACCGGGCCCAAGCCCGAUGAUCCCGGACACGAGUACCGAAGCGUUGCUACUCGCGCCACCGGCACCAUAAGCGUUGAACAUCCCGCACCCGAAUGUAGUGUUGGGUAGGGGCACGGUGUCAUCAAGCGUGACAUUGUCUGUGGCGAGGAUGACAUCCGUCAGGAAGGGGCCUUCUCGUUGGAAGUAGAAACACGAGCCGAUCGAGCAGGCAGUGCCCAGAGUCGAGAACGUGCUGCUGGCGUCGUGUAAGUUAGGGGAGCACAACGGUGAGUCGCAGUGCAAGGGGGCGUAAGACAAUGAGUUGGACGGUUCGUAGUAAGGGUCGUUCUAGUCAAAACACACGAUGCACGACUUGCACUGCGUCCAUACCAAGUCGCUCAUUGUAUCGAGGACGGUGGGGUGCUGAUGGAUAUCUUCGUCAGGUAGUCUCCGUCACCCAGGAGUGACGGUAUCGCAUGACAGGUUUAUGACGACCCGUCAGAGGAAUUCAUCAAUCGGUUGACACGGCGUAUCGAACGUUGUAACGAGCUAGUUAACCGGUCAUAGUAUCGGGUAUGGGACAUGAAUGAAUCUUUGUGGAUUAUGUCAAGGGUGAUGGUAUUAGUAUUACUCUUGGUUGUUGGUAUAGCAAGAGAAGUUGGACAAAGUAGUGAACUAAGAAUAAAGAUAGCAAUUGAGAAGCUCAUUUUGUUAGCUAUGGAAUAAAUAGAUAUGGCAAUAUUGUGAUUAUGUUUACGAUAUAAUUAAACAUAUAUAUUAAUAAAUCUUAAUUUUGGAUUAAAAAUAGGCAUUAUUUCGGUUCCAAAAGAUUUGUGUGACAUAUGGUUAUUAACAAAAUAUCACGAUGAUUAAUCCUAAUUUGAGGGAACACACAUAACGUAUGAUAAAUAGUUUCAUUUUCAUUUGUCUUUUUAGAGAUCACUUUAAUCGAUCUUAUUUCGGAAUUAAUACGUAAAUUUGAAGUUUAGAGAUCAGUGUGUAGGAAGUUCAAAGUUACGGAAGUAAUUAAGUAUUUGAUACUCUUGUAUAGCUUUGAGAGGGGAAUAUAUGCAUUCAUCUCCUUUGCCUUUUCCCCUACCCAUUCUUCGAAUAAAUAAUAAUAAUAAUAAAAGCAUUGGAGGAUGAGGAACCAAAUGCAAAGGAGAUGUAAUGCAUAUGAAGAUAUUUUCCUUUUAAAAUGUUACAUUACAUGCAUGGUUGAUGGAACUAGAUUUUGGAUGGUUUUGGAAGUGCCAACAUAUGGAUCUAUGAAAAGCACAAUUCCUCCCUAUGAAGUUCUCCCCCCAUAGUUUCAAUGGUCAUUAUAGGGUUGAAUUGAUAAUGUUUUUCAAUUUUUCGUCAACUAAAAUUUGUUAAUGAGUCGAACAUGGCAAUGGUGUCGGACGAAAAUUGAUAGGCUAUAAUAGAAGGAGGUUCGUUGUCAAAGUAUGAUUGAUGGAUAUGUACCCUGUCACUCCCCGUCAAAGACGACUAUACACUCGAACGAUUUAGUGGACCGACCAAGACCAAGUUUCUGAUUCUAAAACAAAAUCACCCACUAAUAGGAUGAUGAAACCCUAAUGGGAAUCAAACCAUGAGAAGCUGUUUCACUUUUCACUUGCAGAUUACAUUGAAUUACUAUUCUUCAAAUUUUCUUCAUAGUGCACUAAAAAUUGUAGCAUAUUCUCCAAGGAUAGUGAUACCCUUUGCUUUUGUUGUUGAUAAGUGCUACUAAAUUUUCUUUCUUUUUUUGGUUGAUUUAUUUUUACCGAAGUAAAUGAUACACAAAACAUCGUUAUCUCUAAACAUAAAAUUUCCUUAAAAAAAAAGUAGCGACCCAUCAUUCGAUUUUAUUCCAUCGAACUGGUAGGCCUAGCUCACAUUACACGAAUUUGAAAAAUCUUGUGCAUAGAGCAAAAGCAUCUAACCCUUAAUUGCUAACCUUCAUCAUCCACAAUAGGUUGUGACGUCUAAGUGAAGUUUCGAACUAACAAGCUUGUUUAAUCUCUAAGUUUCAUUUACCACCUUCAUUGACCUUCGCCGACAUCAUAAUACCUUAUAGAAUUAUUAUUUGAAGAAGAUUCAUCAUUGCUAUAACUCAAUAUUUGACAAAAACUCACGUAAUAAUUCAUCUAAAAAGAACAUUCGUUACGACAAUAAAUUGUUUUAAAUGUUAGGGACUGCUUAGAUUUUCAUCAAAUGUUAAGUUACAAAGUUUACUUAGAGGCUAAAUUAGAGCAUACCACAACAUUAUCCUAUAAGGGGAAGCAUGUAUGGAUCAAAUUUGUGGAGAUUGGAAGUCACCAAUAUUGGAAAAGCAAGCAAACCAAAAGGGGUUUUGGACCAACCAACGUGCGACACGUGGACCUGUCAAGCCAAAGAGAGAAAGAGUACCCAAUGGGCAAAAAGGGAAGAACAAGUGAACUUUUGCAAAAAAAUCAAAGUGGGGGGAAAGAAGAACCUAAGAAAAUCCAUAAACAUGGCAAAGAUUCCACUCAACAUCAUAAUCAUGAAAUAGUGACUAGAAAUCAUCAAAGUAGUGGUAGGGAGAGAGAGAGGGGUUAUAGUACAAGUAGUUUGGUGUGUUUGUUAGGUACAAAAAUACAUGUGCACAAGUACGAAUGCGGAUGGCAGGGUAUCGCUUGUGGAACCAACAAAGGCAGCUAGAGAGAGGGGGUUCGGAAGCGGGUGCAGAUAGUUUGGUAUUCACAUCAAACACCCCCCCCCCCUCUCCCAUCGCGAAAAUCUAGAAGUGUGUAUGUGCUUAGAUUUGAACUCAUGGUAAUUCUAAAAAUUCGAUUUUUUAUCAUCCAAAAAUAUUGGCCAUGACCUACCCGCCAAUCAUCAUCCACUAUAUCGUCAUCCACAAUCUUCUAGUCGACAAGACAACCAUCACAGCCGUUCUGUCAUCAUUCGUCUGUCCCCCCCCCUCCCCCACCACCCUCCUACUACACUCCGACAACAGUCUCCUCGCUCUACGAUGACCCUGAUCACACCGUUCCUUUUCAUCUCUCGGCUUUCACUUAUCUACCUCCUACCUAGCGAUUGAUUGUGGUGGCAUAGCUAGUCACUCGAGGCACCCACUACUCUUUGCUUUCAAAAGUUCCCUUCUUUUUCAGCUCAACGAUAAAAAAUUAAUUUUAUGAUGGUGCUUUAUUAUUUUUUUCAUUAUACACAUUCUUUUUCAACGAAUUUUCUACCUCAACCACUAUCUAAACAAUAUUUGAACGUUACAAAUGGGUAAUUUUCAUCUAAACCUGACCCGCCGCGACCGAGAGAGGGCACCCAAAAAAGAGAAAAGGACAAGAUGGAGAUGGGGAAGGAAAGAAGGAACCCAUUUUUCGUGGCUUUGGGGCAGUGAAGAAUAACACUUUGAAAAAUUCUUGGCUUCAAGAAUAUGACUUGUUGGUUGGCUUUAGUCUUGGAGAGUUAAGAUUCUGAUUCUACUUUCUUCCCCUAAAACAGAAUCCUUCCUCACAACCCAAUAAUGAUAUCUAUUUUUUGGGUGUAUUUGAUUUGAACUCAGGACCUUCAGGUCACCGGACACAAUGCUCUACCAUUGGAACAAUUCCACUAAUCGAACAAGUUAGCUAAUUUAAAAACCCUCAAAACUAAACAUAACACCAUUACUAUACAGUCUUAAAAAAAUAUGUUUUAACUUUAUUUGAUUAUUAUUUAGAGUGGUUAACCUAAUGAAAUUUAAAUUUUUAGUCAUUUUCAACAAGUAUGUGAAAUAUUAGUCAAAAUUUAUAAAUUUUCAUCUGGAAAUUGUCUAUUUUCGUAUGCUAUAAACUAUGGAAAUUAUCAAGUUUAACAUGAAAAUUGAAAAUUUUCAAAACCACUAAUAUUUGAUAUACACGUUGAAAAUGACUAAAAACUAAAUUUUAUUACGAUAACUCCUGUAAAUAAUAAUCAAAUAGAAUUAAAAAAACAUUUUUUGAACCCGAUGACUGUAAUUAUAUUAUUUUCAAAGUAAAACACAUUUCUUCAAGGAAGAAAGAACACCAAAAAAAUACUUGAAAAUGUUAUGCAACCCAACCAACUUGCCCAACACAACCAAACCGAACCCAUGACCCACAUUGACCUAAAUUAACAACCCAUAACCCGCAACCCAACAGAAUCAUAGCUCAAAAAAAUCAGUGACCAAUGAACUCUAACGCGAUUAACUCAUACCUCGACCGUCCAACCCGCCACUUUAACACCUUCGAAGAAACGGACACGUGGACCAACGAUGUUGUCACACGUGUACUCGGACAUGUGUGUGACGAGUAGUCACCUUACCCUUUUAAGAAAGGGCAGAGAAUACUUGGGGGUGAUCUUUUGAUAUGCAUGCAUGUUUCUCUUUCACUAGAGAGCUUCUUCUUCUUCUUCUUCUUCUUCUUACCUCAAAAGAACAGAGAAUAUUGUAAAUUACCAGUUGAAGAAUCCAUAAAAGGAAAGAAUGCAAGUACAAGGAAGAAAAAAUCACAAAUUCCUCAAAUCUUUUCUUUUUCCAAAGUGGGGGAAUAUAUAGAAUGAGAGGGGGGGCCAAAAGGGAAAUACAGUUGCAGCAGUCAGAUAUAACAGAUUAAGAACUGAGCAAGUAUUCCUUUCCAUUAGUACGGCAUCAUCAUAGAUAAGAAGAGAAGAAAUUCAGCUAAGUACAAUCACCAGUAGUACUGUACUACUAUUCUGGUAAAACAUCAUGGUUUACUGUUUCAGGCACCAAUGUUCUGGAGAAUGUCUAAUGAUCGAAUUGCUUUUCGAACGUAAUUGUUCUAACUUCUAACCUGUCUGGAUCAAGGAGAUGCCGCCAUGUGAACAGUGAUGAUUCCUGUGGAGAAUGGCGACCAGUGAACCUGGUGAGAGGCUUAUGAUCCCUAUGCUCGACCGAUUUGGCUUCCUGAUUAUAUUCCACAACAGUAGGUAAAUCCGUAUUCGUCAUGGUAUAAGAUAAAACUUUGGAUGCAGCAACAUAGCAUAAUUCAUCAGUGAACAUGAAGUUGAUCUACUAACUCAAUGCCAGCUUUUAGUUGGAGUGAUUCAUGAAAUCCCCUUCUGCAAAACCCAGCAUAUAUAGUUCACUCAGUUCAUGGGGAUGCUGCAAUGUCAGAGAGGAAAAUAAAAGUUCAGUUUCCGUUUGCAGGUUACACUAUAGUUUCCCCUUAUAUGAUUGAUUCCUAUCCACAUUCCAGAAAAACAGUUAAGGAAUAUAUAUAUUUUUAACUUUUAUUCUUUACCUGAAAGCUUUUUUCCUGGGAUUCUUCAAAACUGCAUAAUAUAAAUAUCUAUAUCCAGGUCAGAAACUAAUAUUGUCAAAAAACUAUCUCCAAGACCUUACGACGCACUCGAAGUUCGUGUCAACAUAUUGUAGUUAACGUUUGUUGUAAUAUCCUACACCAGUUAAUGACUGCAUUUAUUCUGCAUUAGCUGUUGAUAAUGGAGAUGUUAUUCUGCUAUAAUAUUAUAGGGUAUAGUACUAAUUCCUGGUGAUCACCUUAAGAACCAAUCCUUUCUCCAUUACUAUGUGAUAGAACAGCACAUGCAUCAAGAGCAUCAAAAGAAAUCAAAUUCCAACAGAUUAAGAAUGCUGAUUUAUUCUAGAAGAAAUAUUAACCAUAGAACUGUGGAGUCUCAUAGAAAGACGCUAGACAAGCUGUGCAUGUAAGUAGUCAACGAUAAUAAGAACACAAGUAUCACGUUUUGAUAUGUAUGUAUAUAUGAUGAUGAGGCCAAUCAAACUUCAAUAAGCAUAUUGAGCAGAAAGAGAAACAGCAGAGCAAUAUGGUUAAGUUGUAGAUUCUUAUAAAUACAGAAAUCGGAGUACCACUCCUCCUCCUUGGCAGUCUUCAUUUCAUGGAUGCCAUGUCCUUUGUCAAGUGGAAGUAUCAAAGCAAGUACAGCUCUUUUUCUCCCCCUCCCAGAUGGAUUCGCGACGGUGCGGGGCCAGCUGCCAGUUGAAGAAUGAAAAGGAUGUGGACCCUUCUCUUUUAUGCUGUAUGGAACUGAAUAAGUACCCAACUUAUUGAAGCAGACAAAACAGAAUGUAUUCUUUGGUUCCAUUCCUUGCCUUCAAACAAUGUCCAAGAACAAGCAUCUUUACUUCAUUUAUGUUUAUUUUUGUUUCUUCUCCGAUCUUUCCUUGUUUAACUCCCACCCUGAUAUGGUCUAAUACCAAAGUCUUAAGGUGCUCUAGUCAACAGAAUCACUUAUAAACAACAACUGAUAUCUCCCUCCCCUAUGCAUUAGUUCCCCCCCAUCAAAUAGAUCAUGAAUAGUUUUACAACUACAUUGACAGCUGAAACGACGAAUAUGAGCGACAAAGAUAUCUUAAAUCUGAGAAUCUUCUGUUGAGAAUGCUACGGGAUGAAAGGUCUGAAGAAGAUAACAGAGAUGAUGGAUUCCCUCAUAAAAAAAAAUACCUCUCACAUCCAGGAAUAAGAUUCUCACUCUUUUUUCCAGAGGGCAAAAUACGGAUGCACACAAUUUAAAAAAGGUUUUCUUGGUGCAUCAAUUCCAAGUAUCUAAUUCAAGGCGUGAAUGUGUUUCCAAGAGAUGAUGUGGGAGAAGAAUUUUAAUUGGUAGAGCCACUCAUUUGCAAUGGAAAGUUAGAGAGUUCAGAGCAUAGCGUCCUCCUAAAACAAAGUUUUUCAACUCGUAGUGAAUAUUUAGAUUGGGUAGGGGCAUUCUGUCGGCUUUUGUUUUCAAGAUUCUAUUCCUAAAUAGCUUACAUUCUCUUUCUUCACCCCAGUUCUUUAUAAGGACAUGAUUGGGUCGACCUUUCACAGUGAGCAUUUGCCAAGAGAGGGCAAGAGCAUACAGAAGAACCUCAACUCAAGAAAGAACAUAGAGUGGUAUGAUUACCUCAAGGAGUGUUGCAUAGUCAGGUUUUCGACGUCAUAAUCUGCGACAAAUUGGAUCGAAGGAAGAAAAAACAAGGCAUCAGGUGAAGAAGACAAAAGUAUAAGUGCUCCUCCUAAAUAGAAGUUCAGUUUUCUUGGAGGGGUGAUAGAAAUGUACCAUCAUCAUCACCAAGGACAGAACAUGCACUCUGCUUCAAGAAUACCAAUCCCUUCAGAGAGGCAUCUGUUCCUGCAAGGUGGGAAUGGCCCUGGAGACUCGGGACUCGUCCUUUCGACCGACGCAAAGCCUAGGCUGAAAUGGACUCCGGAUCUCCAUGAGCGCUUCGUGGAAGCAGUCAACCAACUUGGAGGAGCAGACAGUGAGUAUUGUGAAGCAUGUUCCAACAAAAUCCUACAAGAGACAUAAAUGCAUGUUCAUGAUAUCCAAUUUCUUUGUUGUUUUAAUUUGCAGAAGCUACACCAAAAACAGUUAUGAAGCUUAUGGGGAUUCCUGGACUUACAUUAUACCACCUAAAGAGCCAUUUACAGGUAACUGUUAUAUCUUCCACAUUAAUUUCAUGGUCAAUAACAAUUAACAAGUAAUAAUCUAGGAUUUGCGAAGAUUUAUGUAGCUAGCUAAUCGUAAAGCGAAACAGCAUUUUCUUGGACAUAAGCUAAAAUAUAACUAUCUGUUUCAUGUAUGCAUGUGUUACUAAUAUUCCACAUUUUAUGGAACAGAAGUUCAGGCUCAGCAAGAAUCUUCAUGGACAGACUAAUAAUGGAAGCAACAAGAUGGGUAUGAUGCCCUAAGCAUUUCAAGCAGAGGUUCUGAAAACUCCUGUCUAUCAUAAAAUAACCAAGGAAAUUGAUUUGACGCAGGUGGUCUUGCUGUUGCUGUAGAGAGAGUACCUGAAACAACUCAAACACAUACGACUCCAAAUAACUCGAGCAUUGCCCCGCAAACAAACAAGUACGACUCUAUAAACUUACCUUCAUAUGGUCUCUCAUUUGAAUGAGCACUUUUGCUUGCCAGUCAAACUGAAAAUGGACUUCUCUUAAUCCAGGAGCUUGCAUAUCGGUGAGGCACUACAGAUGCAAAUUGAAGUGCAGAGGAGGUUGCAUGAGCAGCUUGAGGUAUGUCGAUACUUGCAACUCGAAAACCAUUUCUCUAGAACUCUUGAGUUUUACAGAAUACAUCGUUUGUUUAACAUUUUUAGGUUAGUGGAAUUGAGAUUUUUCCUCUGCUGGGCCCACUUUUCCCCUUAAUUAUGUAUUUGACAAAUACAUGGUAAAGACCAUGUAUUCUAAGAAAAUCAGUGUUUCUUUUAUGUUAGUUUGAAUUUGACAUUACUGCCCAUGUUUCAAAAUAAAACUCACCAUAUUUCUACUUACCAAACAAUGUUUUUCAAUUUCCUCAAAUAUUCACAAAACAUCAAUUCCUCAAUUCCCCAAUUCCAAAUUUCCUUCAUUCCGCCUUCCCCUAUAACAAACAACCCUAGUAUUGAUUCUGAAAAGGGCAUUAUAAAGAAUAUAGAUUUGUCAGUUGUAAUCAUCAUGUUCAUCUAAUAACACAUGUAACUGGUACCAGGUACAAAGACAUUUACAGCUUCGCAUAGAGGCACAAGGGAAGUACCUACAGUCAGUGCUUGAGAAAGCACAGGACACCCUUGGAAAUCAAAACUUGGGUGCAGUAGGACUUGAAGCUGCCAAAGUUCAGCUCUCUGAACUGGUCUCUAAAGUAUCUACUCAGUGUCUCACUUCUGCUUUUUCAGAGCUGAAAGAACUGCAGGGUCUGUGCCCUCAGCACAUACAAACAAACCAACGCACUGAUUGUUCUAUCGAUAGCUGUCUGACGUCUUGCGAAGGACCUCAAAAGGAGCAAGAGAUGCACAACAUAGGCAUGGGAUUGAGGCCCUAUAACGGCAGCAACAGUCUGUUGGAGGCAAAAGAACUUCCUGAUCCGAACAUCCUACGGCAGUCUGACAUCAGGUGGAGAGAUGACGUUAAAGAGAAUAACAAUAUGUUUCUGACAUCACUAGGGAGAACAGCAGAGAGGACUGUUUUCCCGACUGAAAGAAGCGCUAGUGAUUUAUCCAUGAGUGUUGGACUCCACGUCAACAUAGGGAAUGCAAACGGCAGGCUUUCUGAAGGAAGAUACAAAGGGAGAAGCGACAACGACAUGUUCCCUGACCAAAAUAACAAGAAGUCAGAUUCAUUGCCUUACAUUGGGAAAAGGCUGGACUUGAACUCCCACGACGAGAUUGAUGCUACUUCAGGCUGCAAGCAACUUGACCUGAACGGUUUCAGCUGGAAUUGAGGAAUUUCCCUGCAGAAGUACACUGGUAAACCUCACCGGAGGAUGAGCCAUCGCCCAUCCAACAUGACCAAGGCUGAAAGCAAAUCAGCAUGAUUUCUUUCUGCAGCUGGUCCAAGCACCAGCAAAACAAUGAAUCCAAUCUAAAAAGAAUAGGUUAUAGGAAAAAAGAGCGUAUCCCUAGAACUUAUGAGAAUGAUGUACUUUUUUUCUACGUUAAGCAUCACAAAGAGUUGUAUGGAUCGAAUUCAGACCAUAUCAUAUCAGAGUACCAACCUUAGUAAAGUACAAUAACCCUGAUUACACCAACUUACUACGUUGUAUUGUCCACUAAGCAGGACAAAUAACGAGUCUUCCCAUAUAUUAUUAGUAUAUUACAUAAAAACUCCGAAAGCUUGACAUACUCCACUCCAUACUUAAACAUACCCACCAUUGGCACGAAUCACCUGUCCAUUGACCCACUCACCAGCAUCACUAGCCAAAAACCCAACAACAUUAGCAAUGUCCUCAGGUUCCCCAAGUCGGCUUAACGGGCAUUCAUCAAUGUUCCUACGAAUCACCUCCUCGGACUUCCCUGCAAAAUACAUUUCAGUCGCAAUCGGACCAGGCGCCACACAGUUGGCAGUGAUCCCAGUUCCCUUAAGCUCCUUUGCCAGAACCUUCACCAUCGCCUCAACAGCAGCCUUGGAAGCAACAUAGACCCCAAACCCUGGUCUCAAUGAAGCCACCAAGGACGAAGUUAGCAAGAUUAUCCUGCCUCCACCUCCACGUUUCACCCGAUUCGCUGCCUCCUUGCAGCAUAGGAACGCACCUCUAGUAUUCACACUGUAAAACAAAACAAUCCAUGACGUGGCAUCCAGGUAGAUGAUGACAUGGCAUCUACGUUAGGAAAAUACCCAUUUCAUCCGCUAAUAUAUAAUGACUUGGCGUCCAGGUGAGUGAUAGCAUAUUGGCAUGUCCGCCACGUCGGCAGAAUUCAAACAUUCGAAAGCAGAAUAUGAAUAACAGAUAAGCUAGGGUUUACCACCAUCGGAAAACUCACCCGAAAGUACGAUCGAAAUCCUCCAAGGAAGAAUCGGCUACAGAAGGAUACUUCGAAUCCAACACCCCAGCGGAAUUCACCAGGAUAUGGACCUCGGACCCGAACGCUCUCUCGGCCUCGUCGAACAAGGACUUCAUAUGAGCUGGAUCAGAUACGUCAGCGAGUACAGAAAUGGCGCGGAGGGAAUCGGACGAGGAUUUGUUGAGUUCGGCGGCAACGAGGUCUGCUUGUUCCUUGUUGGAAGAGUAAUUGACGACGACUCGAGCACCGAGUGAUCCCAGGUGGAGAGCGAUCGCUUUUCCGAUGCCACGAGAGGAUCCAGUGACGAUCGCCACCUUGUCGACGAGUGGGAGUGAGGGAGACGAUUGGGAUGCGGUGGUAGCCAUGGCCGGCGGGACAAAUGGAAACGGCGGUGGUACAGAUAGAGAUGAAGAGAUAAAAUUUUGCGGGAAGCUUUAUUGGGCUCCGUUGGGCUUUAGGAAUAUGGGCUGGGUUUUCAAUUGAUCAAUUUCGGUUAGGUAGUCGAACCAACCAAAUUCGAGUAUGAAUUUUAUAGUGGUUAUUGAUUUGGAUUAGAUAAAUUGACAACUUUAUUUACUUUUAUUUUCAAUUUCAUAAAUAAAUAAAAGUUGUGUGGAUAUUUUUAUUUUAAUGAAAUAAUGUUGAUGUAGUUCAAAGUACCAAAUGAUCUAAAUAUUUAAAAUAAUAAAAAAAAUAAAACAAUCAAAUUCCGGAUUACCGCGCUUUCCACACACACAAGAAAAAGGAAAGCAAACUCAAAGAUUCAAAAAACCCUAAAUCUCCACCAGUAUUCCACUGUCCUCUGCUCCAAAAUUUGAAAUCUUUUCGCCGUUUUCUUCCAUUUCUAAGCAAUCAGAAAGCUAAAGCUUUUGUUAGCAGAGAAAAAACGGAUCCAAAGAAGAAGAAGCUGCAGUAGGGAAGCCAGAAAGGCUACUGAGAAGGUUGGUUCUUUCGAUUCGGUUUUGUGCUUAAGAAGCAGAGAUUGUUGUCUUUGACAACGAAUCUCAGCUACCCAUUUCCUUUCUUGGUGUUCUUUGUCUGUCAAUUUUGGUUAAUUAGUGGAAGUAUUGGUCAAUUGUGGUGGAACUUGUUGGUUUUGAUUUUGAUUGAUCAAUCAGGGGUGAAAUUUUGGUUUUGGGAUGUGAAUUAGGGUUUAUGUGCAUAUUAGUUCUUGGCCGGAAAAUUUGGUGUACAAGGGGAAGGGGUUACUGGUCUAUUGUAGUGCCAAUUAUUGGUUUUGAUUUCGGUUAAUCAAUUAGGUUCAUAGAUUCAUGUAACUUUUGUACUGUGCUUGAAAAUCUGUGUAUGCUGAUUGUGUUAGGUUCAAAGAUGAAUGGUAGGAACCGGAGUACGAUACUGAAUCGAGAACUAUCGAAUCUGGACAAAGAUCUGAAGACUCGAAAAUCAGCGAUGAAGGCGUUGAAAUCGUAUGUCGAAACCAUGGAUUCCACUUCCAUCCCGCUGUUUCUAUCUCGAGUUUCGGAGACCAAAGAAACCGGAUCGCUAUCAGGAGAGUACACAAUCUCGCUCUUCGAAGUCCUAGCUCGUGUCCAUGGAGUCAAAGCCGCUCCCCACAUCGAUACCAUCAUGAAGAUCGUAAACAAGACACUGUCUUUAAGUGCAGGAUCUUCCCCUCUUCAGCAAGCUUGCUCGAAGGUAGUCCUCGCGUUUGCUCGAUAUUGCAUCGAUCCGGGAACUUGCGAUAAGGAGAAGAAACGGAUAGUCGAUUCGAUCUUGAGCCCUCUCGUCGAGAGUCUAGUAAGCAAUCAGGAAUGUCUUAGCUCGGGAUCUGCUCUUUGCUUGAAGGCUUUGGUCGAAUUGGAUAACUGGCGAUUCGCUUCUCAUUCGAUGGUGAACAAAGUCUGCCAAAAUGUAGCUGUGGUACUCGAGGAGAUCGAGAAGUCCAUCAAAUCGAACUCGCAUAUGUCUCUAGUUAUGUCUCUUUCGAAACGAGCUCCAUCGUUCGUUGAAGCUUAUGCCAGGCUGUUUUUAAAAGCUGGAGUUGCCAUCCUGAAUGCUGGUCGUGUUGUUCAAUACCGCGAUUCCCAGAAGCGUCUGCUGGCGAUUCAGAUGGUUGAUUUCAUGAUGAAGUGUUUGGAUCGAGAGACGAUUUCGCCCUCAAUGCUCGAUUCGAUCGUUAAGGAGAUGGAGAGUUGUCUUUCUGAUAAGAUGGCGUGGGUGAGAGAGCAUGCAUUUGAAGCUUUGAAGACUGCAAAGAAAAUCUCUGAAGAAGCAGCAUCCGAAUUCGACAAGAGUUCUGGCUCUGUCAGAGGUCGUAGUAGAAGUCGUACUCGGAGGAGGAAUCCAUCGAGUCAAGAGUCGCAGACAUUUGACUCGUGCAUCAUGGAGUAUGAUUCAAUGGUUGAGUCACCUCUAUCGGGACCUCCAGCCAAUCGCGCAAUGUUGAGCAGUGACAAUGCGAGAGUGGAUGUAUCUCUAAGUGACGGUUUGUUCUCGGAACUUGCUAAUGAUCAUGGAAGUCCCUUUUACAAUCCGUUGACCGAAAGCAUUGCCCGAGAUUACGCAGCAGGGGGGGAGUUUACCGGCUUUACUCCGAGAAGCAACAGAAAUGGAAUGCCUAGAAGCCGCACUCCCAGUCCUCAGGUAUGUUCAAUUUCUGUCUGAGAUAGUUAGAUGGUUCAUCACGAGCUGGCCAACGAACAAAGAAAUCGUCUUUUGCCUCGAAAUAGUUGAUGGCUACUGUGUUAACCAUCUAUUGACUUCCUUUAUUGAACUCAUCAGAUGUUAGUUCACUUGUUAUUGAUUGGUUGAUGUUUGAUUGCUUCUCAGAAGUCACGCUCCAACGUAAAUGGCGAUAAAUUCGCAACUCCAAAGACUCUCAUCAGCUCUCUACAGCACACGGUGGAUUCAGAAUUUGACGAGAAUCGAAGCAGGGGGAGCUUGAGAACUCCAUGCUCGUGUAACGACUACUCAAACUGUCAAACUUCUAAGAUUGACGAACAUGGGUUCGGUGAUCAUAAUGUCGUUGAGUACAAUGCGAAUGAGAAUCGUGAUGUCGCUGAAUCAGUUUCUUCAACAGAUGAUGUUCUUCCUCCUGCUACUGAUGCAGAAGAAGUUGCUGCGGAGAAACAGCCCAGGAAGAGUAGUUCUAGAUGGCUCUUCCUCGCCUUUCUUUUCGCUGUCUUGUCAGUAUUCGCAUCGUUGUUGUUGUUCUUUGAUGGCUCUGAACAAGAAGGCCAUUAUCUUCUUCCAACUUAGUGUCCUAAUCCUAAUUGAGCAAGGAUUUGAUAGAGUUCCUUUGUAGUAAUCUAUUAAUGUCUACUGUUUCAGUUGGAUGUUCAUUAUGCUUAAUAGAUCACAAAGAUCAGUUUGUUUUGACUAAGACAUUGAUGAUUGAUUUAGAUAAUGUAGAUGGUGCUUAUGAAAGUCUCGCAACUCGAUUGUCUUCGACCAUUUCCGGUUUCUUCUGUCCAUUCUCCAUUGCCAUUUUCUUUGGGAUUUGGUAGAACUUCAACUACCAUUAACCGAAUUACAAAACUAUCGAAACUUUUCAUAUAAUUUAGUACUUUAGGCCAUGAAAUAAGAUAGUUGCGACUCUCUCUUGCUCCUUGUAGUUCCAACAGGACCAAGUACUGAGCCGAAGAAAAUCGUAAAUAUAUAUCCGAAUUGAAGGCUCUGGACCGAACUGGCAGCUCACCCCAGCUCCACCUUGAAUCCGCCUGUGUUUUUGACUAUAUGCUUUUAAACUCACCCCAAACAUAAGAACCUCGACAGAGUCUCUAACCAUCCCAGUUCCGUAACUACACCGGAUCAUCUAUUUACUGCAAACUGAAGUAGUUUCUUUUUGUUUUUUCACAGAUUAGGGUUAUGGAGAUGUUGCUUGCCACUCCAUUGUUGUCCAGGACCAAGAACAAGAGGCUUUACCAAGGCAGAUUGGGCAAUUCCUAUGUAAGAAUACUUGCCAUGGCUCUCAUGGAUUGAUCCUGGACUGUAGAUAUACAGUUCUUCAAAUCCUUUUCUUCCAACUACCACUGAGUUCCUUCUUCCCUGCAAAAAAAAAGGAAGAAUCCUUUAACAAUCAGGAUUCAUCACUCUGUACCGGGUGCCAUUAUAGUCUAGAUUUUAUGCAUAAGGGUGUCGUUACGGUAUCGUUAGGCGGCAAUGCUUAGGGGUGGACAUUUGGGAACUGUUAAUGGUUAAAACCGAUUAGCGGACCGAUAUUGAUCAGUUAAUCGGUUAACAUGGAAUUAUAAAUACAUUCGGUUAAUCAUAUUUAUACAUAAUUUAAUAGUAACCAAUCUACUUCGGUUGGUUAAUUGAUCAAUCACUACCAUAUCGGUUGAUUAUUAACCACCCUGACCGAUUAUCACCCCUAAUUCCACUUUCUUCUACCUUCGAUUUGGCAUCUAAAUCAACACAUUAACGAGAGAUGAACCGGUACCGCCUAAAUGAAACUAUAGUCAUACAUUAUGCAAAAAUUAGACGAUAAUGACACUCGGUGCAUUCAUUGAAGAGCUAUAGCAUUGUUCUGUACAUUGAACGCACCGGGUGCCAUUAUAGUCUAAACCAAAACUAUAACGACGCCUGAUACAGAAUUUACUAAAUGACACAAUAUUUUACUUGAGAAAUUAACUCGUACCCUGUCAAAGAGUACGAGUUAAUUUCUCGAGUAAGAAUUAAAAUCCCGACUUGGAUUUUUCUAUAUCAAAUUCUUUGCUUCUCACUCGUCAACAUGGCAUCACAUCAGAAAACCCACGACAAGACGAACACCAAUGCAGUUUAAACCAAAACUAUAAUGACACCCGAUACAGAAUUUCACUUACACGACUAUAGCGGUACAUUUUUACUCCGCAGAAUAUAAUUAACUCGUACCCGGUCGAGGAGCGUAAAGUUCCUAGCAGAACUGGUAUAAACCCUGCACAAUUCAUCAGUCAGCACCUUAUAGCUAUCACACUCUUCACCUUCCGUUCCUUCUUCUUCAGUCACUACUUUCAGAUAAGUUCUGUUCCCAAACAUGUCGCGAUCGUCUCCAGUAUCCGGAGGCACGAUCGCGAAUCUGGACCGGAGCAUUGGCCUCGCGACGAAACUAGAGCCUUCGAGUCCACAGGCGGCCGUUGCUUCAGGCGUGCUCACCGUCAGAUGGGUUAGAAUGAAGCCUGUGAUUUGGAUUGAAGGUGAUUUGUUUAGGUUUGUGAGCUGGAGUUCUGAACUCAACAUGUCUGGUUCCAUGGUUAUUGUGCAUCUGGCAUCAACCAUUUGGUUUGCUGUACUGGUACAUACCAGUUCAACCUGUUUGUACCAAAGAAAAACAAAUGAAAAAGUAUUAGUUUUGGGUUAGUAAGGAAUUCGGUUUGGUUUUCAGUUGAGCUGACCGGAACCGGGAUUGAUUGUUUUCGCAUUGUUUAGUGAAAAAUGUAACUCUAAGUUGGGUGUUAAUGAAUGAUAUAAAAACCAACAUGAACUAUCUCGUAACAACACAAGUUAUUAGGAAAUGGGACGCAACUGUUCAUGACAUGGUAUCAGCACCUUUUGACUCACAAAAGGGUCACCAAUUUGAAUCUCGGUAGCCACCAAUUCAUUGCACACGACUCACUAAAGUUGUGCAAACCUCAGACUCUUUCGUGAGUGUGCUUAAGGGACGUGUUAAUGAGUAAAUAUAAAACUGAUAAGAACCCUCUCCCAACAAUUCGAAUUAUCGAUACACAUCGCAACAACUCGAGUUACCAUGACACAAUUAUUGACGAUACCAGGAAGGUUAGAGGAUCCAAUCUGAACGAUGAAACCGAUUAACUGAAUAGACUUUAAUUGGUUAAUUGGUUAACCUAAAAUCAUCCGAUCAAUUAAUUGGUUAGGAAUUUUCGAUAUUUUUUUAACCGCAACUAAACUUAACGAUUUCUUCCAUAUUUCUACCUAGUCUAACCGAAACCAACUGUAACCGACUAACCGAGCUAUUGUUGCUUAAUUAGUAGCUAAUUAAUCUAAAUCAUCAUAUUGCUCGGUUAAUCAAUUUAUCUAUUUUUUUACAAUCCUAAUCAAUAAAUCAAAUGUGGUCAGUUUUAACCGAACCUACUGACUCCCACCUCUACAUAAAAUUUUGUCACUCUAAGAAAAUAAUAUAAAACAUCAAUCUAAACCCUCCUUCAACCAUUCAAAUUAUUCUGAUGCAACGAUUUACGACACUCGCCACUAGCUCGAGUUCGCCCACCCCAAAUUACCUCAAUGCAGUCAGUAGGAUCACCUCGAAUAUCAGCAACAACCCAAUCACUCAAACCACCGUAUCCGCCGCCAUGGCCGCCGCUCACCGCACCCAACUCAACGGCCAAAGAAACUCCACCUUGGAUCACAGCGCCACCACUAACAUCAUCUCCACCGCCGCCGCCGCCGUCGUCGACGGAGGUCUGAAUCAGCUCCAUGGUCCCGCCAUGCCACAUCAUUGCCUUGUAGGAAGUGAUCAGACCGUGUGGGAGCAGGAAAGUUGCGGAGCUUCCAUUGCUCAUCUUCAUUUUCCCCACGCAGCAGGUCUCUUCCUCCAAAGUCUGGAACUUGACUCCAUGGCCGCCGAAUUCUUGUUCUAAAUAGUCCACGUUGAUUGCCUGGUUCCGGAAUGCCACGUAGGAUAUGGUAGUUCUUCUCUGGUAAAGAAGAAAGGUUGAAGAAGAAGAAGAAGGGAAAGUGGGAAUAUUGAGGGUUUUGAAUGUGGAGAAGAAAGAGGUGGCAGCCAUGGAUGAAGUAUGGAGAUAGCUUGAGGAUUCAGGGGAAAGGAAAUAGCUUCUUCAGUUUUGGAAUAGUUUUGUAGCUUCACAACAAGGAAUAUAUUUCAAUUCACAGAAAUAGCUCCAGAUUGUCCACAACAGACUUAUCUACUAUAACUCUGCCAUGAAUGAAAAUACAUACCUGCUCAGCAUUGUUAAGUAGGACAGUUCCUUUGGUUUCUGUUGCAGAAGUAUCAACGCCACCAACAAAUACAGCAACGUACACGUCCAUUUCAAAACAUUACAAAUAUUAUGUCUUGAUUCAGAAACAGGAAGAUAACCCUCGUGACAUAAGCUGUAGACAAUGGAAACAGAACUCCUUAGUAUAAUAUAGCAUGAUACAACUUCAAAUGGGGAGAACGGGUCAAAGAGAGGGGAAAAAAAUGCUCGCCUUGGCCUUCUCGAUUUUCUUCAUUGUGCCAACAGCAUCACUUUUCAAGACCAUUCCUCGAACUAUGGCACUAUAGCGCAAGCCUCCUCCCACGAGCUUUGCAACACGGAUGUUAUCCACAUUGAAGCUCGCCGGGUUCUUGGGGCAAACUGGUAUGCAGGCCUAGAACGCAAUCAAACAUAUUAAAAAGAAUCAAGCACAAUUCCCCAGAAACUAAAAAGAAAAGAAGGAUCUCAUCCGUUGCAUACAUCAGCAAUAAGAUUACACAAAACAUCUUCCUGGCCAAACUGUUUGCUAGCAACAGCAGCUCUCACAGAAUACUUCAUUAUUCAUUAUAAUAAUAAAGCAACUUAUAUGAGUAGCGUUUACCUUGUCACUGGCCUUGGUGUACCCACUGAUAAUCCCACUGGGAUGCAGUCCCAUCCUUAUAAGCUCUUCAGCAUUCUGAAGCAGCUCACCGGCGAACGAUAUCGUCAAGUUAGCUCCAUCCCUUAGCUCUAUCCCCGAUCUCCUCCUGCUGAGCUUUCCCAGCCAAUACCAGAAUCUUCGCUGCAGGGUGCUGUACUUCAAGCUGGUUCACUAUGGUUGCUGCAUCGUUAGUGACAAACAGCUUGUCCAGAUGAUUUAUCACCAUCUUAUUCAUACCUGAAACAUCACCAGAUCAGUUUACAUCUUAGAAUAAUAAGAUUUUACGAUUAAUUUUACAGAGAUUCCCGAUUUCACUUAUCUCAGAUCAUCACUAUACACACUAACACUACACUCUAAGUGCCCGGGUACAUGUUUUAGGAUCUUCAUCAUCUUACGAUUACGAUUUCAAACAGCAUACACUCACAAACGAACUCUGAAUCCACUUCUUAAGCCGUAAACACGAAAUGAGAGCGAGAUUAGCUCACCGCCAGACCCGAAAUUUCGCCUGGCUAUCUCAUAUCAUCACUAAUAUGCACACACACACACACUCUGGAUUCACAUAUUGAGCCAUAAACACGAAACGAAGCAAGACUCCGUCCGAUUUAAAUCUUACAAUGCAAACUCGCAAACACACACUGAAAGUCACUCCUUAAGAAAACAACGAAUGCGAGAUUUGCUCACCGUUAAGUCCGAGAGAAGUACGGGUGAUGGUGGACAGCUGCUUGCAGGCGUCAAUAUUCUUGAGGACAGCUUCGUCGAGGCCGGAGAGAUGCUUGUGUCCUUCCUUCAGCAUCGACUGUACACCGUAUGGCUGCAUUGGGAACCCCAUACUAUUUACUCUACUCCCCUUCUUCAACUAGAUGAGACGAAUCUCGCCGGAGAAAUCGAGAGUCCGAGCUCAACUGUUCUUGCCGGAGUUCUUUUCUAGAGUAUGAUCGGACUGUCUCUUUUCUUGCCGCAUAAAGCAAAAGCCGCGAACCUCUAGACGGAAGAAGACUUACCCCAGUCCUAACGUAACGACGUCGUGUGCACUCAUUUUUCAAAUAUCAACAUACGGUGCCGUAUCUGUAAUUGAGAAGGCUGUUCCUUCAAUAACGAAACUCAACGAGCAUUGUAAUCUGUUACAUAAUUGUCUUUGCAAGAACAUUAAAUCCAUGUUACACCUUGUAAUUGGUCAUAAUUCAAGAGCUAAAUAGCUGUAAUGAAAGAUUAUCCCAAAUCCGAGAAGCAAUAUACCAAUAAGCCAAAGAGUGGUCGUUCGAUCAGCCUCAAAAAGAGCUAAAUUGUAGCCCUAGUCUAGCAUUAGUGAUACUAGUAGUAACGCUAUAAUAAUAAUAAUCGUUCCUCAAAAGAAAGUCCAACAAUCAUAGCCAUGUAUAUGGCGAACCAUAGAGAUACCUCCAUCCAUUCAUGCUAAAUGUGUCGAUGUAGCGAUUUUCAACUCCUCGCACGAGUCCUCUUACCACAUUACACAAAAAAACAUAGUAACAUAAACAAGUAAACCAACCAACUGAUAACAAAGACGAACAUACAUCGAACCAUUAGCCUUACUGAUUAGAUAACAAAACACUCAAACAACACCGCCUUGAUGAACCAAGUCAUAGGGGAACAAUAACAAAGAAACAUAGCAAAACAGAGAUUGUCUUUUUUCUUAACUAAAGCAAACUUGAAACCUUAAAGAGUCCACAAACUAAAAAUGAAGAAACAAACAACCAAAAGGAACCCACCAAACCCUAUCUUUUUGUAUAGAGAUUCUGUGGAUUAGGACAAGCUCCCUAACCACCAUCAAUAGAGAAAAAACAGCGACGGCCGAUUCGUUCUGUUCCGGCAGCCUAGCCUCGCCGUUGAUCUUCUGCUCGACUUCUCCAGCUGCUGCUGCUGCUGCUGAUGUCCUUGUUGGAUCUUGUUCCUUCCCCAUCAUUGCAUUUUCCAGAACCUGGAGAAAACAAACAGGGUAAGAGAGUACUGCAACGGCGAAUGAAACCCGAGAUUCAGAAGGAAGAAGCUUCGACACUAACCUGCUUCUGCAUCUUUUGCUUGGCCCUCUUCUCCUGCAUGAUCUUUUCGCGGGUAGCGUAGAAUCCAAAGUCGUUCAGUAUGGAAGUCUUGGAUUUGCAGGACUUGAAGAUUUUGAGAACCUCAAUGCCCUUCUCAAUGUGAACCUACACCAUCCAGGAAAGAAGUAUUAGACGAUUACCACAGGAGGAGAAAAGAAAAUAACAAAAUGGAAGAUUAAGAACCAGAAGAGAGUGAUUCUUCUACCUCUUGAGUAUCCCUACUAUUAGUCACAGGCUUGUUUUCGUUGUUCUCGAGGGUGAUGUGCCUCAAUGUGCUGUUCGGCACAUCCUUGAUGAUAUGCCACUUGACAGCGAAGCAGCCGGUCCACUUGUCUUGCUGCCAGUACUCGACAGUUUUAUCGAAAUCCACCGGUCCGACCAUUUCAGCCAAACCAACAAAUUGACCACUAGUGUUCACCUACACGAAACAGAAAUUUUGUUUAACACAAGCAAAGCAUAGAAAGUUAAAAGUCCUAAUAAGGUCUCUAGAGUACUUACUGAGAACAAUAAAAAUACAGGGCAUUGAGCAGCCUUUGCACUUGACUCUCUGUAAGCUGCAUCGAGCUUCUUAUUACCAUUCGAAGUGCUAGUCCAAACACCAUAUUUGAUGCUCUUAUGGACAUCAUCCUCACUGUAUGAUUUUAUCACAAAGAAUUUGGCAUCCGCAUAAUCUUCUGGGAAAUCGUCCCUAUUGUACUGUCCCUGGUCAAGAAUUUCAGUCGGAUUCUCCUCCUUGUUCUCUGUCGAAGAAUCGUUCUGCCCCUCCAGCGUAGUUUCAGCACUGAGAUCUUUCUGAAGCUUAAAACUCUUGGCCCUGGGGCCUUUGUUAAGCUCGCCUGAGCCGUCCAUGUUCUCAUUUCCAUAGCCACGGCCUUUUGAUUUGUACUUGUCAACAGUCAUCCAUCCGCGUCCAUUAGUCCAACUGUUGUUAUACCCGAAAGAAUAUCCGCUGCCUCUGUUACCAUAAUGGUCAUACAUUCUGUUGUUCGGGUACAUCAUAUAACCAGAACCCUGUCCAUAACUAGGUACAGGCCUUGUUUGAUGUGAAUUCUGAAAUGACACAAACAAUUUCAGUAAACAAAGUAAUAUCCAUAGUCAUAUAGAAUAUCAACAUUAAACGUUCCUAAUGAUGAAAAAUUAAGGUGCAGAGCUAAUAGUUGACAUUAUACACAUACCAGCGAAGAGGAAUACAUGGAAGCAUCAACCCACGGGAAUGUUGAUUGAAAUCCAUCGUACGAAAAUCUUGGAUCCUGAUAACUUGACGGCUGGUACGUCGUCCCAGAACUUCCCCUUUUGGAGGCACCAUUGGUGUUCGAGUAUGAAUUCUGAUUGCUUGGUCUGAAUGACUUCAAUCCAUUAUUCUUGUUCAAACUCCCCAUAUUCCCGGGGGUAGUUCCAGCAGGCAGAGAUCCUUUCUCAGCCAAGCCUGCAGUUGCAGCCUGCCCCGGCGAAGGGCUCACUUGGUUAAGAGAGCCAUUUGAGUUUGAGUUAGGGAGCUGAUAGAACGGAUACUGGUACUGCUGUGUCCCAUACAACUGACUGUCAUUCGUUUGACCUGAACCAUUUGUCGGGGAAUACAAAGGAUAACCUUGGGGAUGAAACCCUGCCGCAUCUCCUUCACCAAAACCACCCUGCUAAUAAACAAAAGAAAACCCGGUUACUUCACAGCCAAAGACCACCUCCCAAGCACGUACAGGAACAACCAAAGCUCAUGGUGCUUAUUCAAUGCCAUAACCAAUCUAGUUACGAAUCAAAUUGAGUAAAAAAAGAAGUAGAACUAACAUGAGACAUCUCAAGCCCUCUACUGUAGUCGUUCCACUCAUUACCAUGCCCAAAAUAACCUGAACAAACAAAAAAAACGAAAAAAAUCACACCACCAUGUUACUAACCAGCAAAAAAACCUCAUUUUUCCUAAUCCACAACCCUAAUCCAAGCUCCUAAGAAACCUUACCUCCGUAAUAGUACGCAGGUGAUGGUGGGUAUCCAUUAGGGAAAUAGUUCUGCGCGUUUGGGUCAACAAGAGGGGUCGUAGAGCGGGUUAACGACAUCCCUUGAUUAUUAUUAGCCAAAUCAUUCGUUCCAUAUUGACUAGUUGUGAGCUAUACCAACCAAAUUCAUCACAAAACGAUCAGGAAGAUAAACAAAACACCUCCAAAAGCUCAAAUUACACAAAUCAAAUCACGACUUCCGAGAGAGUCUCUUUCACUCACCUUCUUUGCAGUCUCCAUGCCAUCAGCAGCUGCCUUCGCCUGACCGUCCAGCGACAGGUUCUCCAAUAAGCCUGCAGUCUCUGAUUUAAGAAGUACUAUAGUAUUAAGGAUACAACAACAGGAAACCGGAUCUGAACGGCGAAUCCACCGAAAACCCUAACGAGAGCGGCGAAAACAAUCGAAACAAACGGCGGAAAGAAAAGAGUUACCGAGCUCGGGGAAUUCGGAAAGGAUACGAUCAGAGCCGGAAGCGACGACCGCCAUGACUGCGAGAGAUUGAGGUGGGAUUGGAUAGAGAUGAUAAACCCUAAAAAUGGAGGCAAAGGGGUUUAGAGAGAGUAGCCGCCACAGAAAAAGAACUCGGGAAAGAAAGGACUGUUCUCAAAACCCUCCACGGAUCCACUUCCACUACCGGAUAUAUUCCUUUUUCUUUUUUUUUUUCCUUUUCUGGUUAAAUAAAGGGGAAAAAAUAUUUUUCUCGUGAUAUCUUGAAUGGCUAGUUUGUUAUUUCGUUCAUGAUUUUGUAAGUAAGAUACUUAACGUGUUGGAAUUGUCCGUUGGUUUACCUUAUUUGUUAAUCGUAACGCUCGCGGUUUGAACUUAUCUUCUCGUGAGCUGUAUAUACAUUUGUAUUAAAAGAAUUUAUCGUUUAUCAUUAAACAAAUGUUUAAAUUGAGCGAAUGAAGUUAAAUAUCAUGUACUUGUGGUUCGCUCUAUCAUAUACAUUACUAGUGUUGUGUGGCUGUUGUGUAUACAGUAUUACGAAUUUUCAUAAUAUCUCGACAUAUAUAUACUCUUUGGGUUGUUAUCGAUAAUUAGUAAUGUUCUUUACAAUGAUGUAAUGUAGACAACAACAUCAAAUAUCAAACCUAAAACCGUACAGUUAAGUGUAGUAUUAUGCUAAUUAUAUUUACAUAAAUAUACAAUAGUUACCUUCAUCGACAUUUAAUAUAUGUUUGUUAUCCAUUAGAUCGUUAGUGAAGGCAACUAUUACUCUCACUUUUGGCAAAGGCACUAUAACAUUUGCUAUAAUCAAUAUCCGAAAGUGAUUAACAAACAAAUUACGACAUCACGACACCAAUCGAAAUUGAGAUGAUCUCAUAUGAUAUAUGAGCCGAUCACAAUUUAGUAUACCACGUAAUGGUCUCCAUAAUCGACAUGGAUAGAUAAUACCCGUUUGGGUACGCCCUCACUAUAUAUAAGCUCUCUUUAUAUUAUUUAUUUAUUGAAAAAAUAGUAAUUUAUCCAAUAAAUAAUCAUCCAACUUUUGUAAAAAAUUAAAUUGUCCAAUUAUAUUUUCUUCCUUUUAAAUAAUUUUGGAUUGGGCCUUUUACCGGAAGUAGAUGAACGGGCUCACGUGGGGAUUAUGUCUAAAUGAGUUGUAAGGAGAAUGACUUGGGCUCUUAUGAUUUGUCGGACUCCAAAUAGCAACUUUUUGGGUUUCUAUUGGCCGAAUUUCGAUAUAUUUCUCGUUUCGAUAAUAACACGUAAAUAAUCUGUCAAGACAAACAAUUAUUUUUGUAUUGUCAAUAAAAACGGUAUAAAUAAAAAUUAUUAUCCUUAUACAUUGUAAUAUGUGUCCGUCGCAGCCGACAGCAUAACUGUAACUUAAUCAUGAUCGAACCAGUCCAUUUUUCAAACCAUUAGGGAUAAUAAAAAAUGUAAGACCAAGUUUAUGAUAAUCAACCCGUCGAAACCGAGCGGGGGACCCAAACCAAACCACCUUAAGUAACCGAUAGAAGACAAACAAACCGCCAAUUCAAAUAAAUACAAAAACAAACUAAAAUUUUAAAAUAAUCAUUUGGCAAUAAUUUACGGUAUUUUAAUUUCCUCAGUGUAAUCACCUCGGCAGCCGUACGUCUCGUCUGCUCACUGUUUGGCGAAACUCCCGACGGCGUCAUGGCGACGAGUUUUCUUCAACCUCCGGCCACAGCUCCGGCAUCCGAUAACAGCCACGAAACAAGGUAACAACAUCAACUCGUCAACAUUCCUUCAGUUCGAUUAAUAUUGAUAUUCGCUCGAUCUUCGUCCUAACUCGAUCGCCGAAAACCGCCGCAGCCGGAAUCCAGAAGUCCUCUGGGCUCAGAAAUCCGGGAAGGUGUACUUAACGAUCGCCCUGCCGGACGCCAAGGACGUAGCGGUGAAAUGUGAGUCCGAGGGCUUGUUCGCCUUCUCCGCUCGCGGGAUUAAUGGCGAGUCCUUCGAGCUCAGUUUGCAUCUCUACGCUCCGAUUCUCCCCGAGGUUGGUUGUUAAUCCUUCUACACUGAUUGAUUGCCGAUAAUCUUCCUGAUUGUUUCUUUUAUCGCGGAUUUGCAAUUCGUCUUGUACUGUUGUUUGGAAGCUUGUUGCUACCUGGUUUCAUCAGUAUUAUGCGUUUCACACUGUAGACUUGUAAGGCGAAUGCUGGAUUGAGGAACAUAAUCUGCUCGAUUCGGAAAGCGGAGAAGAAAUGGUGGAAGAGGCUGUUGAAGACUGGUGAGAAGCCUGCACCUUACAUUAAGGUUGAUUGGAACAAGUGGAUCGAUGAGGAUGAUGAGGAUUCAGCUUGUAAGUAGUUCCCCCCUUCACUAUGGCUGUUUGUUUCAUCUAAUAGCUAUAAGGUCUAAUUCUUUCUGGUUUUUCAUCUUUGAGCUGUGCAUAAGGUCGUUAGAUGAUUAUCACUGUGGUAUCGUUGGUGGUUGCUCGCCAUUUCGAAUAUCUACAUCACUUAGGGUUUGUUUGAUCCUUAAAAUCUCAUGAUUUGGGUUGAAAUAGCUGCCUCAGGCAUCCUUAACUGGGGUGGAUGUCGCUUGCUCAGUGGCCUGUCAAACAGUAAGAACUCAAACCCAUUACAUUUAGACUUUCUUCUACUGCAUCCAAACUCGUUAGGCGCCAAUCACGCUCUAUCGAAUCCUAAAAGUCUCAUAAUCCGCGAGUUUCAUGCUAAGAAAUGACUAAGCUUCCUUGCAUAAUCAUUACAUCAUUAGUUGGGGCAGUGAAUCAUGCUGAAUGGCUAGAUCAAUUCAGCUACUAUAUCACUCGCUAGAUGGCUGAACAAAGCCUUAGGCGUCAAUCAUGUUCAAUAUGAUCCGCAAAGUCUCGCAAUUUGUGUUUGGUGUUAGGACACGACUAGCUACAUUUCACUAUCGAUUACUCGUUAGUUCGAGCAGUGAGACGAUCGCUAGUUGUUGGACAUCACUCCGAACGCCAAUGAUCCAACAAAGCGGUAGGCAUCAAUCAAUCAUCUUCAGGUGUGAUCCUUAAGAUCCCAUGAUUCAAUGUCUCGUGACUCGUGUCAGGACAUGAGCAAAAGCUGCCCACUGCGUUAUAAUUUGUUGUGACAUCUCCCUACACAGGAACUGGAAAUUUUCCUACUGUUCUUCUAACAGUGUUUUACAACUUCCACUCUGCAGGUGACUUCGACUCAGACGAAGAUAACCCAACGGUAAUCAACCAUUGAUCAGCUAACCGCUUCUUAUUUCUAAUGCUUGACUGAUCAUCUUCCUCCCUUGCAGAAUGACGAUGAUGCUGAAACCAGCGAUGAAGAAGGACUGCUCUGUAAGCUAUUACAAACCUCAGACUUUCCUACAGUUCUCAAUUCACUAGUUUUGGCCAUGGUUGUGAGAUUGAACCUGACAACAACACUUUGUUUCUCUGCAGACCUCCCUGAUUUGGAGAAGUUGAGGGGAAACUGAUAGGAGAAAACCCAGAACCUCGAAGCUUGCUGCUGAUGUGCCGGUAAAGAAAGCUACUUUUUGUGAAUGUUAGUAUAGGUGUACUUUCAAGAAUGUUUCCAGAAUUCCAAACGAAAUAAUUCCAGAAUUCCAGCCAUACCUAAGAAUUAAUAUGUUAAACGAAUAUGCUUUUAGAUGGAUAUUAGAAAAUCUAUCGCCGGCAGCAGCCGGAGAGGAAGAAGGUUAGGCCGUCGCUGGUCGCCGGAGAUGGAUCAUGGCUUUCUUGUUUUCGGAUCCGCGGUUUUAAGGAGAAGGUGACGUUGGGCGGGAAAUCCGCCCGGGUCAGCCCUGACCCAACUGGGAAAGUUAGGCCUAGGAUACACAUAGGUUUGGACCCGGCUAUGAUGAGACUUAAGCGGUAGGUGGACUUGUAUGGGGGAAAAGGCCUAUUUGGCCCAGACCAGACCAGGGUACACAGAAUAAGCUGGUCGAUUUUUACCCGAACUCUGACCCGACCCACAAAAAUCUCCGUAGUUUCACGUGUGCAUUACACACACUGCGAGGGGGUCACGCACCUUACGAUUUACACUCGCGCGUGCGCAUAUUAAGACUCUAAAAUUAUUCGAUAAAAUAUUACGGAUGUAAACAAUUAUAUCAAUUGGGCACUCGUCAAACUUAAAUCCCUUUUAUUGAGGAAGAAAACUAAGGAGGAGGGAGAUUUGUUACAUUUUUUUAAUUUUAAUUUAAUUUAUUUUAGACUCAUUUUUAACUUAUGUAACAACCAUAUCAACUCGAUAACCUGUUAAAUUUCACGAAAUAUAUAAAAAAGAUAAAUACAUUUAAAUUACUAUUAUAAUAACAUCCGGCGUAACCUUAAGUAUAAUAACAUCCAUACUAACUUAAAACUAAAAAAAUAUAGACGGCAUUUUAUUCCUCGCAAGUCUCAUUAUGAGCCGGUGGAAACGUUGUGUGCACAUUGGACCUAAUUUACCGAGUCGGGUAAUGGCCAACCCGGAUAUUUUCCCCACUGGACGCCCGCCAACCCGGGUUAUUAUUACCCACCUCAAUUGCUUUCCGUCGUCUUCCUCACUGAUCGCAGCGACUUCCACCAACAAUAGUAAUAUACUUUCUAAUAUAAACCGACCAAUCACCAAACCUCGCCGGAACCGCCGCUCUCCUACGAGCUUUCACCUCUAAUGACGAAGGAGCCUGGUUCUUCUUCCAUCGUCCGCCUAAACAUCGGUCAGUUCCUCUCUCUCUCUCUGUUUACGCAAUCUAUGUAAUUCCUUGCGCAUUUCUUCUAUCCACCUUACAUCGAAACCCUAAUUCCACCGCGAAUAUCGUACAUUCAUCUCUCGGAUCUGCUGGUGGUCUGAAUUGGCUUGUUUGCUGUCGUAGGUGGAAAGAAAUUCUCCACUACUGUGGACACUCUGACGAACCGGGAGCCGCAGUCGAUGCUUUACGCGAUGUUCAGUGGCCGGCAUACUGUGUGUGAGGAUCCUGUCUCGGUAAUGCUUUAGCUAGGCCAUUGGUAGCCCGCUGUUUGGUCGUUAUAAGUGAUAAAAUUUGAAUAAUUUGGCGAUUCAAAAUGGAAAGAUUGACGGUGCUGCAUUUUUCUAAUCACAGGGAGGCGUCUUUGUGGAUAGGGAUGGGAAGCAUUUCAGGCAUGUUCUGAACUGGUUGAGGGACGGAGUAGUUCCAAAUCUGACCGAUGCUCAGUAUUCGGAGCUUAUGCGGGAGGCUGAAUACUAUCAGCUACUUGUAUGUUCACAUUCUUCUGAUUGUGUUUGACUUAAAGCACCAAAUGGAAGAUUUCACUUAAGUCUUCGGUUGAUAUUCUCAUUGCAAUUUCAGGAGCUUAUAGAGGCGAUCAAUUCUGCAGUUAACCAGAGGAAGCCGGGCGAUGAACUGGAUACGGAAUUGACUCGAACGGAUAUCAUCAAGUGUACACAGUCUGAGAAGGUCCGGUUUCGUGGGGUUAAUCUUUCUGGCCUUGAUCUCUCCAAAUUGGUAAACCUACUCAUUCCAAGUGCUCAAGUUUCUUUCUUUCUACGAUUUAGAUCGACCUCUUCAAUUUGGCUUUUAUAUCAGAUGCUAUUGCCAUUGAAAAAAAUAUUUUCCCUUUUGCAACUCUCGACUGUAUAACAUUAGUUGUAUUGUGCUUGUAUAUAUCUCUUUCACUUACAAACAGAAAUGCAAUGCUUCAUACGUCGAGAGCUUGCUUCUAAUAUUAUGUAUUUGUCUGCAAUGGACCAAAUACUACGUUUAAGUGUAUUGUUCUUUUCACCGGUUUCAUGUGGGUUUAAUUUGUGCAAUGGGGGUACAUGACUUCCAGGACCUAUCCUUUGUUGACUUCAGUUAUGCUAGUCUUCGAAAUGUCUUCUUCUCGCGUGCCAAUCUUCAGUGUGCUAAAUUCCGGGUAAAUCCACAUUUGACUACUGUAUUUCCAUCAACCAUGACAUGCCUAAUAACUCUCAGCUAAACCUUUCAUAUUUUGUAUGUGACAGGAUGUGGAUGCCGAGGGUUCCAUAUUUCAUAAUGCAACCCUACGAGAGUAAGUAUACUUUCUUAAUUCGUGUCCCAUAUUUGCAGACUAUCAGAUAGACAUCUUUCUUAGUACUUGUAUAUUCUGUUUACCGAAGAUGCGAAUUCACUGGUGCAAAUCUUCGUGGAGCUUUAUUAGCUGGUGCUAAUCUUCAGAGCGCAAAUAUGCAAGGUAACUUUUUGCAUCCUUUCAUGCUUUUAUCACUCCAUAGGUUGACUAACUCUACCUUUGUUUUAGCUCUAUCAGGUUCUAUUGACAUAUCUUAUGAUACAGUUAGUAAUCAAUUUCGACUGACCCUUUUGUGCAGAUGCUUGUUUGGUAGAUUGCAGCUUUUGUGGAGCAGAUCUGCGUUCAGCUCACUUACAGGUUCGCCAGUCAUCACCCGCUUUAUCUCUUAAAUCGAUUCUUCCAAUGUCCAUCCUUUGAUUAAUUACUAGAAUCAACCGUGAAAGUUGCUGCUUUUAUGCCAUCUGAAUUCGUAUUUUGUGAAAUUAGUUCAUGAGUUUCAUGCUUGACCUAUUCGAAAAACUCUUAUUAGACUGCCGAUCUUACCAAUGCCAAUUUGGAGGGAGCAAACCUAGAAGGAGCUAAUCUGAAGGUAUAAAAGGGUUUCCUUUCCAAUCUCCUUUUGAGAUUCAGUAUUGCUAUAUCCGGGCUCUUGAACUUGAUCAAGGUUGCAUUCCUACCAGGGUGCAAAGCUGAACAACGCCAACUUAAAGGGCGCAAACCUUCAACGCGCCUAUCUUCGACAAGUCAAUCUCCAAAACGCCGUAAGUGAACAGCAACUAAUCUCGUAGCUAAUAGUACUUCCAUUGCUUGCAUUUCAAGCUCUAUGGUUCCGCGUAUGAAAAUUGUCGAAAUGGGUUCCUCGAGGGUUGCACGUUUGCCUCUCCAAGGGAAAAGCAUCCAACUGGGUUUCUUAACUUUCGAUUCGGUGCAGGAUUUGGACGGUGCAAAGCUUGACGGUGCAAACUUGGUCGGAGCAAUUCGAUGACCGACAGAAAGCUUUCGAGAAAGGUCUCUGCUCAUGAAUGCAGAAUCCUCCGUCGUUUGGACCUGUAAUUUAUUUUCUGAGCUGCAAAAAGUGAACUGUUUCCAAGUUGUUUGUAGAUAACUGAGUUUAUACUUUAUACUGAAAUUAUGAUUUGUAUUUGUGAGUUUUCUUCAAUGGUUUAAUCAAUAGUGGGGUUUAAAAAAUUAAAUUGGCUGAUUUUUAGUAUGCGUGUUGGUAACGGUUAGAAAUUCAAGUUUCAUUAGAUCAAAUCAUCAAACAUGAGCCAAAUGAAGUGAAAAUGCAACUUUCAUUUUUUGGCCGGUUUUUUUCACCAUUUUCUAAAGGGUAUUUAUGUGGUUUUCGAUGAAAAUCGACAAAAAAAACCAAAUUUGCUAACUUUUGGAAUGCGAGUAGGAAAUAGUUAGAAAGUCAAAUUAUAUUAUCUCUUACGGCUCAUAUUUUAGCCAAAUGAAGUAAAAAUUGCGAGGGGGUACUUGUUGAUUGAUAUGGUAUCUUCAUCGGCUAGAUUGGUGACAGCGACCCCCUUAUCAUGGAACGCUGCUGAUUCCUUGAUUGAACCAAUGGCGCAGCUACCGAAGCAUUGACCGAAUGGACUCAAUGGCUCCGAAACUCAGUUCAGGUCAGGCUUGGCCUUGUCUUUGUUCUUGAUUUGGAAGGAAGCAACAUUUACCUGAGGAUCAAGCAUGAACGUUAUAGUAUAGCAUCAACCAAUUCCGGAAGCGAUCGAGAAUUCCUCAGACUGGAAUAGGAGCAGGGCCGGCUCCGAUCCUCCAGCGUGUACUCCAUCGCCCGAUCGCCCCAGAAAAGGUUAAUUGGUCAGCAAGAAAUGGUACAAUUGGUUGUAGGACACUGCAACAGAGUGAAACACACACAAGAUUAGAACAUCACAGUUAGCUAGAUACUAGCAGGCAUAUCGUUUCGAGCCCAUACCGCAGCUCUAACACAAGCUUCCUGGAGAAUGCUCGGGUCUAGAGGAGACUUUGGAUUGGCAGAACAUUUCCCACGUACGUCCCGAAUGUCUAUGUUGCUUGAUGAGGGUGUGUCCAUGCCUAAUUCGAAGGGUGCAUAGACAGAACCUUCGGAGUGCUUACUUUCGACCUUUCGAAAUUGCUGGUGUAAGUGAUAGCAUUUGGACCAUGGAUUGAUUCUACAAAUACAAGUGUUUGUUGCUAGAAUUCAAGCCCUGAUCAUUAGUAUGCAUUACUUGUUUAACAAGUUACUGGAAUGGGUUGCUUCGCAACGAAUCGACUGUAGGCCAAUCUUGCCUGAGGAGAUUAAGCAACCAGCAUUCGGACUAGAGGGUAAGAAAGCUCCGGGACCGGAUGGAUUCUUUGAGACAAAUAUAUAUUAUGCCGAGCGCAGGUGGAACGAUACUCAUAUUGCGCUCAUUCCUUUUGUUACAGGACAGAAGUAUCAUCUCGAUCGUUACUCACUCGUUUCGAAACCGGGAUACAAGUGAUUCUUUCGGUUUCGAAACCAGAGAAGACAAGUGUGUGAUGUUUUUAAAGCUUAAUUUCUCUCCAAGUAUUAUUGUUUUCUUCACAAAUUAGGUCUUACCCAUAAUAGAAAUAUUUACACAUUUUCAUCAUAUAUAAGAAAGAAAAACUAAUUAAAUCUCCAAAUAAGUUAACACAAAAUAAAAGAAAUUAAGAUCCAACAAUGUCGGGGAUCAUUCACAAGAUCGAGGAGACGCUACACAUCGGCGGAGGAGACGAUCAUAAGGACAAGGACAAAGACAAGCAUCACGGUCACGGUGGCGAUCAUAAGCACUCAUCCGGCGAUCACAAGGAAGGGAUCGUCGACAAGAUGAAGGACAAGAUACACGGCGAAGACCAUCAUGACCAUCACGGCCAUGAUGGCGAGAAGAAGAAAAAGAAGAAGAAGGAGAAGAAAAAGCACGAGGACGGGCACGAGAGCAGCAGUGGUAGCGACAGCGACUGAUCCUUCUGUGUCGCGGUCUAUGUUAUAUGUACUGUCGCAUUUGGAUUGUUUGUUAAUUCGCCCAUUUGUUUUGGCAUUGUUGUUAUUGAAAGAAUCCGUUCGUUCUAAUAACUCGAAUUAAUUACGUACAUUUGUUUUAAAUUUGUAUAGAGUGACAUGUGAACGAAUAUGUGCAUCCUUCUGGACACACAUAGGGUGAGUCGGGGUGAACGGCAUCAAAAUCUUAUAUGAAUUUCGGGGUUUUUAGUAGUUCACCUCACUAAGAAUUUCAAGUUUAUCUAUAUGUUCUUUAAAUUUUGAUCUGUUGUCAACUUAAAUUUUACGAAAUUACCUAAUAAUUAUAAGGAUAGCGUCACAAUGCCUUCAUUAAAAAUAGGGUAAACAUCAUAUCCACUGAUGGUUUGUUGGAUAAACAGAGCUCUAAUCCUCAUUUUUUAGGAUAUAAUUCUACAUGUCAUAAGAGGAUAGAUCGAGCGAUUUUAGCAAAAAAAACUAAUCCGGUAAAAAUGAUGAUCUAUCUUUUAGUUAAAAAUGAAGAAAACUUGAAAACUAUCGGGUGUAGUCGUAUAUUUAGACCUAAUAAGAUUCAAUGUAUUGAUUUCAAAGUUUGAUUGAUAAAAAAAACCCACUCUAGAUAGCAUAAACAUCCGUGGAGGUAAUGUUUGCUCAUUUUAAUGGAGGCACCAUAGCUUUCACCAUAUAUAAUUAUAUCACCUCGUAAAUUUUCUAUACUAAAAUAUCAGUACGAACGGUCUGACCUGUCCAACCUUAAAUCACUCACAAAAAAGAGUCUGAUAAAAUCUUAAUAUAAUUAGAAUUUAAUCAUGGUUCAACUAUAAUUUAUAAUUUACGGGGUGAGUUUUAUUCCAAAUAUAUAGUUUUGAAAGGGUUAUAGAAAUUGCAAGAAUAAACAAUAAAAAAACCAGACAACAAAUUUAGUACUGGAUUUCUUGUCUCUCAAGCAGCCUGCAAUUCUGAACCAAUUGGCUUGAAAUUAUGAACAGACACUGUGGCAUCAGGUCUCAAUCAGUCUCUUGGAUUAAGGUGCUUGGAAUCAAGGCACCAAGAUUUUGGAACAAUUCCGACAUUGGUUGGCGAAUUUCACAUCGACAAAGAGUAAGAAAGAUUCGUGUCUGACAGCCAUAAAUAUUGACGAGACUCACAUAGUGUAAUGGAAGAGUUCUUAUAAGAAUUAAAAGUUAAACGAGCUCCAUUAGGAGUAGUAUAUAGAUCAGUGACCUUCCAGAAAAUCCCCAUUAUGCAACUCUAAAAGCGAAUUCCUGAGGAUUGAGAUCGUAAGUGGACAAUAUGUAUUUUGUCAUUGGCGGAUCUAUAAUCAAACAAAACCUUUAGAUUAGAGAUGGAUCUAGAAUCGAACGGAACCAUGAAGUCAACAUCACUAAGUUUACGAGUCUCUAUAGCAAGCUAGCUAGACAGAUGGAGCCAGUCAUUUGGGAUCAUAUUUCCAUCAACAUCCUAAUUUCCAAAAAAACAAGAAGAAAAGUUGCAAAAGAAAACUGCCAAAUGGAGAAAUUUUGGGUGACCAAUUCCAAAUUCUCGAAAAAUCGGGUGACGACUCAGUAACCCUAAGUAUGAACGCAGAAGUAUGGAUGGCAUCUUGUCUUAAAAAGAUGAUUAUGAUUGAUGAAGAGGUACAAAUCUUGUAUAUUACUUACUUCCCUUUUACUAUUGGUUUAAUCUUAGUUGGAGAUUUCGGUACAAUACCGGCGGUUCAAUCGGUUAAACCUUAAACCAUUCAUCAAAAUGGUAUAGUACAAUUAUAAUAUAAUGACAGUUCAAUCACGAUUUAUAAACGACCUUCAGCGAUUAAACCAUAAAACGAGGGCGAGCAUCUUAAAAUUCAUUUUUGUUAAAAAGAAUAGACAAGAAUCCUUAAUAUUAUUAAUAGAAAAGAUGAAACGGAGGAAGGAAACCCCAAUUAUUUUCAACUAAAUAAAAUCAAUAAUAUUAAAAGAGAAAACAAAAAUGCAAUACACUUCAAAAAGAGCGGAGUGACCCUAAUAAAAAAAGCGUCGAGGCGAGUCUUCCAUUCAAAGCUUAUAACAUUUCUCGUCUCGACCUUUCAACACCGAAUAUGUGUUAGACUCUAUACAUCAUGUUACAACUUAAUAUUCUCAACGGCUUGCGUUCUUUUUACCCCUCCUUCACGAUACUCCUUCGUUAUCGGUCGCAUAGAGUAUUUAGCCUUGCAAAAGUGUUCAUGUUGGUUCACAUGGAAUUCCACGUGCCUCAUGCUACUCGGAUAAGAGUGUAAGCUAGAAAUCAGCUACUAAAAACUCGAAAUUAUAUUUCGAGAAAAAAAAAACUCGAAACGAGCCUGGUUUGAUUGCAUUGUAAGUGAUGAAUAAUUUAAACCAAUUUUCCUGCAAAAACAGUCCAAAAGAGUAUCCAUCGUCCCCGCCAUUGUUUUUAACUCCACUUGGCGUCUUGACCGUUUCACUUCUCUGCCGGCAUUCUUCAUUCUAUAUCUCCUUCUUCUUUAAAUUUCUGAUCAAUUCCAAUUCAUUGGUUUUCCUCUCUAAUCAUUUUGAUUCUUUCAACCUUCACCAGAAACAGAGUUAACGAAAGAA